UCUAGGUUGUACAAUGCAACAAUUGACUUGGGAAGUGUUUCAAUAUGAGUAUAUGAUAGAUUAAGGUGCCUUAGGUGCCUCAAUUUGCCUAUGCAAUCCGGUACCUCCCUGAUGAAGUAGUGACUUAAUGAAAGCACCCUCAAGUACUUCAAUUUUGACAACAAGUCACAUAGAACUUUUUGGGACAAAUAUGACUUGUAAAGAUAGCUAAGCUGCUUCCCUAACAAUAUGAAGCUCCUAAGUCCUUUCAUUCCACAAUAUAUCUCUAAAUUUUUUGACACAACGUAAUAUUUGGGAAUGAAUGAGGCAUGACGAGCUAAAGAUGGAUUAGUUUGAUCCCACUUAAGCUCAGACUCCCCUGAGCUAAAGUGGGUUGCACCUGCAACUAGCUUUGCCAAGUCAUUCACAAGAUCAUGCAUCAGAAUUGUGAUUCACUACUACUCGACUUUUGAAAUAUGAUCUAGACACUAGCUCGUUGAAAUAAUUCAAACUGCAAUCCAAAUGUCCCUUUCUUCUUUUUCCUUCACCAAGCCCUCUGCAAUCCACCAGUGAAUCACCUUGUCCCGUUGGAUUUCAUAGUCCUUCGGAAAUAAAGCACAGUAAGCAAAACAUCUCCUCAAAUGUGAAGGGAGAUGGAGGUAGCUAAGUUUCAAAGCCGGAAGGACGUUAACUUCGUCUUCUGGUAGAUCCCAAAUCUUGCUCUUCGAUAUAGCUUCCCAUUCAUGGGGACUAGCAUUGGUAUGUAGCAGUCCAGCCAAUGCCUUCACAGCUAACGGCAAACCUUUGCAUUUUUUCACUAUUUUCCUACCUGAUACUUCUAGAUCAGGAUGAUGAUCGAAAUUCUGGACUCCAAGAGCAUGAAGUGCAAACAAAGUCGUACAAUCAUCUAGUGACAACAAUUUGAGAGUUAUUGGUUGAGCACGGCUUGUUGAAGCCACAUUGUAGUCACGAGUCGUGAUGAUGAUCUUGCUUCCCUUCACUCCCGAUUGAAAAGGCUUCAAGAGAAUAGUCCAUUUGUCAUAGUUCUUGUUCCAAACAUCAUCUAAUACGACAAAAAACUUCUUUCCCGAAAGGUUUUUCUUAAGCUUAUCCUGAAGUCAAUUCAAGGUUUUACCUUCACAGGUCAAAUCACUGUUGAUUGUCUCUAGAAUACUCUUCGUAAUAGAAAGCACAUUGAAAUCAUCAGAAACACAAGCCCAUGCUUUCUCAUCAAAGGUGACAUUAAGAUCAUUGUAGAUUUGUUGAGCCAUAGCCGUCUUCCCAACACCUCCCAUCCCUACAAUGGCAAUCACUUUUGGAUCCAUGCGUGUUCUAUCAUCUUCUUCUUUGGUCAAUAAUCUAAGGACCUCCCUUUUUUCAUCCUCCCUGCUAACGAAAUAAGGCUCGGUCACAUUCGUAGUGGGAAUCGGCUCAUCCAACUGGUGGUAAGCUAAUCGCCUCACCUUGUUCUCUCUUAGGCUUAGACCAUCUUUACGAGCUAUGAUCUCCUGCAAUCUGUCAUCCAUCUCUUCUAUCUUGGAUCUCGUUGUGUGGCCAAACAUCAAUGCUUUCGGGCUCAAUCUGGAGCAACAACUUGGAAGCAAGGCACGCACCUUGCUAGUGCCAGGUUCUGUCUUGGACUUGUUUUCCACGGAUUCUAUGGCAAACUCAUCCAGAAAGUCUUCGAUGUCGUAGGCCAAGUUCCUGAGAUCUUCGAGCCAUGACUUCAUGUUGGGAUCGCCGGUCAAUUGCCUGUCCUCGGCAUCAAUCAGCACCUGGUCAAUACUGGUCAGCAUCUUCUCCCAUUUCUUCAGUAGCUUAUCAAUCUUCACACGCCUUGCAAAGUUGAGCAGUUCACGAGAGGCCAACCUCUCGAGCAGCACGGGAAGAAGGGCGCCAAGGAAGAGCUCUGCGAUGGGCAUGGCUUGGUUCGUGAGCAGCAGAGAAUUAAACAAGAUGAGAGUGCCCGGAUGGUUUAAAACACAGUGUCUCGAGCAUAGAGGAAACAAAAGUUCUUAUUUUCGGGACAACGGCAUUAAAAGUUCUUAUUUUAAGCUUUAAAGCACUCUAGUUAGACCGAAAUAAUGUGAACUGAAGCUUGCCCUUUCUCAACGUCUUGGAGACUUACGCAUUAAAAGUUCUUACUUUUUAUUUGUUUAUUUCCUUCUCCUAAUAAUGGCAGACAAGGAGCAAAUUUAGGUCUAGUGCUCAAUCCAUGUUUGUUCUUUAGCAGUGGAGGUGGAGGUGGAGGUGGAGGAAAGGAUCGAGACUUAGACACUGAUGGUGGGGACUGACCAGUAAAGUAGAUGCACUCAAGAUUGUUUAUGAGUCCACUAUUCUUGUCUUGAUUGAGUCGACCGGCGACAGUCUUUCUUUAUUAUAUAAUUUUGGCCGAUGAAGACUUGGAGCAAUCUGUCACCUAGUUUUCAGAUUCCCAAGUAAUUCACCGGCUUUUAUUUGAGGCCUUAACUAAGGUUAGGCUGCAACACUCCAUAAUCCCCAUCCAUCUCCUCUCUCUUUCUCGGCAUCUCGCUCUCCAUUUGAGGUUCUAAAAUAAUUGGAUUGCCAGUACUAAAUCUCGACCGUUCAAGAUGAAAUAUUUCGGCUAAAACUUAUUGUGUUUCUUUCUGCAUCAAUUGCUUUUUUAUGCUCACCUUACUUCAUUCUUUUUUGCACUCAAAUCUUUACGCCUUCAUCUCUCAUCAUUCAAUUCAUUUGAUUUGAUCUCAUGGGAACAAGUUGGUAUUAUUAAAGCCACCAAAGGCCGGAAUCAGUAAAAGGUUGUUCUUUCAAUUUCUUUCCCACUCCUUUUUUGCACCCAUCCAUCAUCAUCCUGCAUCACAUAGAUCAUGGCAUCAUCGUCUCAUUGAUGUAGCCUCAUGAAUUCCAUUACAUUAUCAAACAAAGUAGAAGUUAAAAUAUAAUUUAGUUUAUGUAGACCUAUAUCAUCAUAUAAGUCCCAAUGAUUAUUCCAUAUUACACGAGAACUCAAUACUUUAAUAGAUGUAUAAUUUACGUAGUUAGUUGCUCAGUAAAUGUCCAGAAAGACUUGAUAACAAAAUCUUUAAAUAAUGACAAAAAAAAAUUGUUACUCUCUCUUUGUUACCGUCAUUGCUACCUAACUUGGCUCUUUGAAAGAUACAUUAUGCAUUAGAUUAGCGACAAAAGAAUUGAGUGACUGUAAAUCGAAUCAAAUUGCAAACCUUCAAGCACCGUUUUCUUUUUCCCUUUUAUAAUAAUUAUAUCCAUAAUAAAGCUUCCUUGUUUUAUUUGCUCUGCUCGCUCACAUUAAAAUAUGCCCACAGUUUUGUCAACCUAACCACAAUUCGUCCACCAGAUAAAUAUUUUAUCCCCAGAGAUGGACAAAUUGAUAAUAUUAAUUAAAUGAGAAGGUUUAAGGGGGUGAUUCAAGAAGUGGGUUAGCAUGAGGACGCGGUUUAGGGCGGUUCAAGAAAUGGGAGCGGGCCUCAUGUGCAGUUGCAGAACGUUAUUCUCUACUCACCCUCUUCACCAUUCCCAGAUGCAGGCCUCAUGUGCAAAGCAUCGAAAGAAGGGUGAUUAUGGCAGGACGUGCCGGAGUCCAAGGAAUCAAACUUCUAUAAUUCUUGUAUUACUUCUCUAUUUUCAUUGCUCUUGUUGCACAAAUUGUUUAUUUAUUAAACUUUAUUCUCUCUCUUCCCUCCUCACCAUGUGCAGUUGGAGGCCCCAUGUGCAUAACGUCGAAAGAGCGGUGAUUAUGGCAAGACGUGCCAGAAGGCCAAGGGGUCAAACUUUUAUAAUUCAUAUGUUACUUUUUUAUUUUCAUUGGUCUUUUUGCAUAAAUGAUGUAUUUAUUAGUCUCUCUCUCUCUCUCUCUCUCCAUUUAUAUCACUCUUCGAUUUUCUUUGCUAUUUUGUUUAUAGUUCAUAUGUUAAUGUUGUUCUUUCGAUGCUUUGCGCGUGGAGCCUGCAACUGCACAUGGUGAAAAGGGUAGAGAGAGAAUGUCAUCUGAUUCCUUCUUCAUCUCCUUCGCAUGGUUCUUCUUGUUGUCUGGCCUGCAUUUCUCGAACCAGAUAAAUACAGGGCGUCAACAGAUACUUGUCUAUGGAGAAAUUAUAAAGGUUCCUGUCGAGAUGCAUUCCUAAUCUAAAUAAUGUGCAUUCUUUUUGGGUGAAGUGCACCCUCCUCACAAUAAAUUGCUCAUGCUUUUUACGGUGAAGUGCAUGCUUCUCAUGAUAAUAUACGCUAUUGUUCACGUCAAGUGCACCUUCCUUGGAACUCAAGCCCAUCCUCCUCAACCCUCCUUAUGGUGUCUAGAUGAGAAACGUGCCUCUUUUGAUAAGGAGCAUCCUCCUUAAGCAGUUGACAUUGACGGGGCACCCAUGAUAUUUUUAUCUUUUUAUCAGCUUGAUUGCGAAAUUGUCUAGAAAGCCGGUGUUCGCUUUCUAUUGUUGUAGGAACUAGUUAAUCCAAACUAGUGAUUGUGUCUAGUACGAUUAUUUGCCAAAUAGAAAUGAGAUUUUCCCCAUUAUUUUUACUGUUAGUCAAAAUCCAGUAUAAGUUUCCAACUAAAAUCCCCAACUUAGACCGUUUGACCCGUCAAAAUUGAAGCAGUGGCCAUCCAUCUCGCCGGCAAUCUCGAAAACGGACCUGGAGCUGCUAAGUCUCAUCAAUGAAACUGGUUGAAAGUCAGCCAUCGAUGUUCUGCUCUGCCACCGAUCUAUGCUCUGCUCUAGUUCAAGGAUAGGCCAGGAUUGAGGGUAAUCUGGUCCUCCCAUUCCUCCAACAAAUAAUGUCUUCUUGUGCGGCUCUUUAAAUGAUCAAUGAAUGAUAUUAUUCUCUAGCAAAAUAAUAAAAAGUAUAUUUAGAUUUAAUUGGAAUACUAUGCGUGUCAAAUUUUUCUUAAUAUGUCGCAUAUGACCCACUUGUUUAAAGGUCCCUUUGCAGUCCAGCAUAUCACUUGGUGUAUCAAUCUAGUUGAUUGUUCUGAAAAUCAUCUAUAUUAGUCAUCUUUAUAAAUGGAAAGUGCCAACUAUACUUCGCCAUUUUUUCAAUAGCUUAAGUAGUUUACACUUGAACAUAUUCAUUGCAUCAAUGACAUGGUAAAGUGUAUGGCAGGGAUAAGAACAACAAAAGUGGCAUAACUUUCAUACGAUACUUAUUUGAGUGCGGUAAUUUUUUUUUUUCACUCAAAUGUCACAAAUUAUAAAAUUAGACACUUAGAGCUAUAGGCGAUUUGCCUCGUUGGAAAAUCCAAUGUGAAUGCCAGUCAUUCGACGUGAUAUCGCCAACACUAACAUGAACAAAUUUUAAUUUUUUUAAACUUUUAAAAUUUUAAAUUUUCUUUUGUUUUUUCAUAUAUUGACAAGAGUCACCGGCAAGCUCAACUACUAAGGCCUCAUCUAGAUUGGGCAAGGGCUGCCUCGCCCAUGGUCAGUGGGGCCACGAAGGCCGUGAGUGGGGCCAUCGUAGUCCAUCGGCCACAGGUGUGGCUGCCUCACCUAUGGCCGGUGGGGCCAUGAAGACCCUCGCUUGUAGCCAAUGAUGGCCUCACCUAAGGCCUUAACUACCACAUUGGCCGAAGGCAAGGUGACCUUUGCCUAGACUGAGCGAGAAGCCCUUAAAAAAAACUAUAUAAUUCAAAAAAAUUAAAAAAUGUUGUAAAAUAUCGCGUGGCGAAUAUAUAAUAGAGAAGAGAUUAAAGAAGAGAAAGCAAGUGAACACUAGAGAUAGUAGCAAGAUGAGAGAGCUUUAUUUCUAGUAUCUCACUGUCGUGUUUCUGUGUGAUUGUCUAUUGUACAUCAAAACUAAACUCCUAUUUAUAGGAGAACAAGAAUGUACUUAUCAUUAAUAUCAAUGUAUCGAAUGAUACAUGUACAUGAUAAGGGAGACGAAUGUUCAUUGUAUAGAGAGAUGUACUUAGAACAUUUGAUACAAAUGUACCAUAAUAAGUACAUUGGAUAAGAUGAAUAUAAUGAAUAUUCAUUCAUGUAUUCUAUCCAUUCAUGUAUUUCAUAACACUCCCCCUCGAAUAUUCAUCAUAUUCAUUACGAAUGUGCAUUGAAUGAUACCGUCUCAUUAAAAACCUUAAGCCGGAAAAACCCAGUGGGAUAAAAACCAGACAAAAGGGAAAAAGAGUGCAGAGCACAAAUGUUAUGAUCUCUCCCUUUUAUGGAUGCAUUAAUUGCCUCGUUAAAAACUUUAAGCCGGAAAAACCCUAUGGGAAAAAACCGGACAUAAAGAAAAAAAAGUGCAAUGCAUAUAUAGCCACUCCUGGGGCUAAUCAUUAUUGCAUCUUGUGAACUAGUCACAUAUCAAUGCUGCAAUGUAUAAUUCAUAAUAUUUCCCCCUCAAUUGAGCCAUAUAGCCACUUAUGGGGCUAAUCAAUCUUACAUCUUAUGAACUCGCCUCAUACCAAUGCCAUAUACUAAUUUCUCAAAAGUUGAUGUUGGCAAUGAUUUGGUAAAAAGAUCUGCAAGAUUAUUUAUGGAUCGAAUCUGUUUAACAUCAAUUUGUUGACUUUCUUGAAGUUCAUGAGUAUAGAAAAAUUUCGGCGAGAUAUGCUUGGUCCUAUCACCUUUGAUAUAUCCUCCCCUGACUUGUGCAACACAAGCAGCAUUAUCUUCAUAAAUUAUAGUGGGAGAAUUGGUAAUCGGUAUUAAGCAACAAGAAUUAUGAAUAUGUGUUAUAACGGAUCUUAACCAAACACACUCUCUUCCAGCUUCAUAUAAAGCAAUAAUCUCAGAGUGGUUAGAAGAUGUAGCUACUAGCGAUUGCUUCGUAGAACGCCAAGAAAUAGUGGUGCUGUUAUAACAAAAUAAAUACCCGGUUUGAGAGCGAGCCUUAUGUGGAUCGGAUCUAUAUCCAGCAUCAGCAUAUCCAACUAAACCAGAGUUAGUGGAAUCCUUUGAAUAAUAUAAUCCCAAAUCUAUGGUUCCUUGGAGAUAACGAAAAAUAUGCUUAACUCCAUUCCAAUGUCUCCAAGUUGGCUCAGGACUAAAACGUGCCAAUAAAUUUACCGCAAAAGCGAUAUCUGGUCUCGUACACUAUGCCAAGUAUAUCAAAGCCUCAAUUGCAUUGAGAUAUGGUACUUCAGGACCAAGUAUCUCUUCAUCAGAUUCUCUAGGACGAAAUGGGUCCUUUUGGGGAUCUAGAGACCUUACAACCAUAGGGGUGCUCAAUGGGUGAGCUUUGUCCAUGUUGAAACGUUUAAGCAAUCUUUCAACAUAUGCUGAUUGAUGGACGAUUAUUCCAUUUGCUUUAUGCUCAAGCUCUAGACCAAGACAAAGUUUGGUUUUACCCAAAUCUUUAACUUCAAACUCCCUUUUCAAAUAUUCAGCAGUUUCAGCUAACUCUUAUGGAGUUCCAAUUAAAUUUAUAUCGUCGACAUAAACUACUAUAAUAGCAAACCCAGUUUCUGAUUUCUUAAUAAACACGCAUGGGCAGAUAGGAUCAUUUUUGUACCUUUCCUUAAUUAGGUACUCACUUAGGUGUUGAUACCACAUGCGACCGGAUUGCUUUAACCCGUACAAGGAUCUUUGCAAUUUUAUUGAGAAUAAAUUGCGGGGAGUGCAUGCUUCAGGCAUUUUGAAUCCCUCAGGAAUUUUCAUAUAAAUAUCAGAGUCUAAUGAGCCAUAUAGAUAUGCCGUCACAACGUCCAUAAGACGCAUUUCCAAUCUUUCAAAGAUUGCUAGGCUAAUGAGAAAACGAAAUGUAAUCAUAUCCAUCACAGGUGAAUAUGUCUCAUUAUAAUCAAUCCCAGGUCUCUGGGAGAAUCCUUGGGCAACGAGUCGGGCUUUAUACCUGACAACCUCGUUUUUCUUAUUUCGUUUUCGGAUAAAUACCCAUUUAUAUCCAACGGGCUUUACAUUAUCGGGGAUACAGUUACAGGUCCAAAAACCUCUCGUUUAGUUAGGGAAGCUAAUUCAGCUUUAAUUGCUUCCUCCCACUUAUGCCAAUCUUGCCUUUGACGACAUUCAAUAAUAGAUUGUGGUUUACAAUCAUCAUCCAUAAUUUGAUGAGCAACUGAGAAUGCAAAAGCAUCAUCAAUGAUGAUUUCAUUUCGAUCCCAAAUUUCAUUACAGUAUGUAAUGGAAUUCUCAGUAUUCCUGGGGCUAGUGCUCCUUUCAUGGGUUUGCGCCUCUUCAGGGGCAAUAAGCUCUUUGGGAGCGAGCACAACGCUAGGCUCUUAUGGAGCGGAUUCCUGAUUCUUUCCCCUUCGUUUUCGAGGGAUAAUAUCUUUUGAUCCUAUCGUAUACCACACUUCAAGUGCGCAAGUAAACGUGCAAAUGCGACAUUGCGCGUAGAUAAUAGGCAAACAUGGGACCAUCUACAUGAUACGUCCACUAAUACCAUAAAAUAUCGAAAUGGUCCACUUGGUAGUUGUAUUGGUCCACAAAUAUCAUCCUGAAUUCUUUGCAAGAAUAAAGGAGAUUCAAAAUUAACCUUUGUUAUAGAAGGUUUGAUAAUGAGCUUUCCUUGUGAGCAAGUCUCACAAUUAUAAUCUUUGGACAACAAUACCUUUAUAUCCUUUAAAGGGUGCCCUUUUGUAUUUUGAAUUAUCCUAUGCAUCAUUGAAGCGCCGGGAUGACCAAUGCGAUCAUGCCACAGUCCAAACUGAUCAGGGCUUACCAAUCUCCAGGAUAUGGUAGCGUAGGUUUCAACAGCUUUAAUCAUGACACAAUACAAACCCAUAGAAGAAGCUUCUAGCUUCUCAUGGAUGGUCUUUAGGCCCAUCUUAUAAGAGGAAAUGCCAAUAUAUUCUUUAUCUUGCUCAUAAAUAAUCUCAAUAUGGUACCCAUUACGGCGUACAUCUUUGAAACUAAGUAGAUUCCUUUUUGAUCGAAUGCUUAGAAACGCAUUCUCAAUAUGCAGGAUUGUGCCAUUUAGCAAAAUAAUUGCAGCAUUCCCAAAACCAUCAAUAAUUGGAACAGGACCUGAUAUUGUAUGGAUUUGUGCCUUACGUAAUGUCAUACUUGAGAAAAAGUGUCUACUACAAAAUAUAGUAUGUGUUGUUGCACUAUCAAGCAAACAAACAUCUUCAUUUUUCUCGGUAUUUUCCAUUUGUAUUUAUAUUGAUAACUUCAGGUGUCAAGUAUCAUAAAAGUUGCAUAUUAGUUAUAUAGUCGAAUAAAAUUUCAAAGAUAAAUAUUAUAUAAGGUUCAUAAGUAUUUCAUAAAGAACAAAAAGUAAUACAUUUAAAGCAAAACAACAUAAAUUUCAAAGUUCAAAUUAUUAUUCACCAAUCUGAUUCAUCAAAGUAAUCAGAGGUCCCCAAAGAAAUCAGAGACAUCCAAUGAUGCAUUUGUUACUUCAGGAGCAAGAGGAGUCUCACCAAUGGAGAUAUUGUUGGCCUCAACAGUGGUUAUGGCAAUAGGAUUGAUUUCAAUGGCAUGAGAUUCACCACGCUUGCCCGUAUUCUUUAAAGAUGCCUGGUAUAGGUCAACAAAAUGUUUUGGCGUACGACAGGUACGUGACCAGUGCCCAGUCAUGCCACAUCGAUGACAAAUACUUUCAUUAAUCACCUUAUUUUGCUUCUUUUCUUUGCCAUGAUUCAGGCCAAAGUUUGAUUUCCUAGGGUGGUUAAAUUUCUUGCCAUCCCUUCUAGGAUUAUGUUCUUGCCUGCGCUUAUAGCCCUUAAAAUUGCUAGUAUUUUUCUCAAAGUUAGCAUGUGCUUCAGGCAAUGCUUUUGAGCCAGCAGGUCUAAGAUCAUGAUUUUUGAGCAGCAAUUCAUUAGUUUGCUCGGCAGUAAGAAGCACAGAAAUUAAUUCAUAAUAUGUGGCAAAUUGACGUUGCCGGUAUUGCUGUUGCAAUACAAUAUUCGAAGCAUGAAAGGUGGAAAAAGUUUUCUCAAGCAAUUCUGCAUUAGUGAGUUUGAUACCGCAUAACUCUAGCCGAGAAACGAUAUCAAAUAAAGCAGAAUUAUAGUCAGACACUGAUUUAAAAUCUUGCAAUCUGAGAUUUUGCCAAUCAUAUUGUGCUUGAGGGAGGAUAACAGUUUUGGUAUGAUCAUACAUAUCCUUCAACCUCCUCCACAAGAUAUGCGGGUCUCGAACGGAUAAAUAUUGAGUUUGCAGGCUCUCAUGCAAAUGACGGCGAAUAAAAAUCAGCGCAUUUGCUUUAUCCUUUUCAUUUGAGGUUCCAUCCUCUGUAAUUGUAUUAGCGAGACCUUGCCCUUGGAGGUGCAUUUCCAUGUCAAGGCACCAGGAUAGAUAAUUCUUUCCACUCACUUCUAGGAUGUGGAAUUUGGGCUUUUCAAUAUUUGCCAUAAUCCUUGCAAAAAUAAAUCCUUAAAUUAAUUAAAAUGAUUUUCAAAUAUCCGUUGCCACUUCAGGAGCAGAAGGAUAUUUUUAGAUUUGAAAUUUGGCUUCCGGCCAAGAAAAAUAAAAAUGAAGAAUUGAUAGAAGAAGAUGAAGUAUAAGUUGAUCAAUAAAAAUAAUACCCACCUUGCAAAAUUUACUUACUCAAUCGGUAGAUCUUCAUGCUUGUAAAAGUUACUUACUCAAUCGGUAGAUUCUCGUGCUGAUAACGUGUUGUAAAAUAUCGCGUGGCGAAUAUAUAAUAGAGAAGAGAUUAAAGAAGAGAAAGCAAGUGAACACUAGAGAUAGUAGCAAGAUGAGAGAGCUUUAUUUCUAGUAUCUCACUGUCGUGUUUCUGUGUGAUUGUCUAUUGUACAUCAAAACUAAACUCCUAUUUAUAGGAGAACAAGAAUGUACUUAUCAUUAAUAUCAAUGUAUCGAAUGAUACAUGUACAUGAUAAGGGAGACGAAUGUUCAUUGUAUAGGGAGAUGUACUUAGAACAUUUGAUACAAAUGUACCAUAAUAAGUACAUUGGAUAAGAUGAAUAUAAUGAAUAUUCAUUCAUGUAUUCUAUCCAUUCAUGUAUUUCAUAACAAAAAAGUCCACAUUAGAAUGCAUGUAGGAUGAUUUGCCAAAAUGACACUUAGCGAGAAGCCAAAAAAAAAUAAAACUAAAUAAUUCAGAAUUUUUUUUAAAAUCCACGUCAAAAUGCAUGUAUGAUGAUUUGCUAGAAAUGACACUAAGUGAGGAGCCAAAAAAAAAAAACUAAAUAAUUCAGACAAAUUUUAAAAAUCCAUGUCAAAAUGCAUGUAUGAUAAUUUGCCAUAAAUAACACUCAGCGAGGAGCCAAAAAAAAGAAAAUUAAAUAAUUAAAAAAUUAAAAAUCCAUGUUGGAAUGCAUGUAGGAUGAUUUGCUAGAAAUGACACUUAAACGAUCAAUUUUACUCCAAUAUGGCACCAAAAUAAGCGAAAAAAAAUUAUAACAUUUGAGUGAGUAUUGUAUGAAAGUUACAUGAGUAUCGUACAUGAGUUACAUAACUUCUGUUGUUUAUACCCCGUGUAUAGCAAGGUCGAUUAUCCUUCAAACACAAAAUUGAACAUGAGAAAAUAUAUAAGGUUUGCACUUCAAUCAAAUGCUUUUUCUAUUAAACACCAGUUUAUUAAGAUGACCAAACACACAUAUAGAAGCUAGGUAGUUUAGUUAUUGAGUUCGGAAAGGUAGCUUAGUAAUAAGAAUAUAAUUAAAAUGUCACCUUUUUUAAAGUUUCGAUAUCAAUUGUUAUUGUGACAUCCCGAUUUUCCAAUUCUGGUUUCAAUUAAAUAAGUCGGGCAUUUCAUCUUCGCGUCUAUAGCUUUCUUCUCUGAGUUGGCCACUCACGAGAUAACUAGUCUAUCAGGUGAAGCCGUUAAGGAAUCUAAACGCAAUAGACUUGAGAAUUCGACCAGGAAACGACUGCUCGACCGUACUAAUCUGCAAGGGUCAUUACGGCACAGACCGAUUAGAGACCGGAGAUAGGUCGAUUCAACAUAACCAUGUAAUUCAGUGUGGGUGAUUCCACCUAAUUGCACAAUUUUUUUUUAUCGGCACUAGACCGAUUUCUCUAUCGUUUUGGUACCCUGUGUCCGUAUUUGAAACCUCGAGAUUUCUACGACAAUCGAGAGUCGCCAAUGUGUCGAAGAUGCACUUUGUGGCUUGAGAAUAAUCAACCACAGGUCAAUUGCACAGAAAAUUCUUAAAAGCUAUCCGAUAGAUUAGGACGCGCUAAAGUCGCGCCAGAUUGAAUUUAACCAUGAAAUUGAACCCGAUUACAGAAAUUGGAAGUUUUGUCAAGUCACAAUUCAUUUUAGGAAUGUCGACUCAUCUUCAGAAGAUUUUUCUACAAACCGAAAUUUCUAGCGUAAACAGCAAAAUAAGGCCAUUUAUGUUCGGGAUUGUCAGAGGGCUGUUUUUAAUCGAAUCUUCGGGAUGCAAGUUGGAUCAUUUGAUGGAGAAAUGUCAUGAGAAGGCUGAGGACACAUGGGUUAAUUUAAUUGAGCUUCAAUUGGAUGGAAUUGAUUGAGAAUUGAUUGAAUUAAGUGUACAAGAAUUGGACCCCGGCGGAAAAUGAAAUUGAACCCAUUGGAAUGAGGUUGUGGGAGAUAGUGGAAGGUGACAUCAUCCAUGAGGUCAUGGUGGGCCAUGAGAGAGAGAAAAGUGGUCCCAUCUUCCUUCUCUCUCCUCCCUCUCUCUAUUCGGUUGUCUCUCUCCUCCCUCUCCCUACCGUGCAACCUCUUCAGCCUCUCUCCAUCUUCAUCUUCUUCUUCGAAAACCCAGCAAACCGAAGAAGACCUCAACAGCUGCAGAAGAUCAGCUGAAGCCGUCGCAGCCUCCGCGCGCCACCACGACGCCGUCGUCGCUGCUCCGCCUUCGCCGCUCGCCCUCCGCCUUAUGUUCUUCCUCCUACAUCGUCGAAGCCCUUUCUCUCCUCCAUCUCCGGUUUCUGCUCGAAGACCUAGCAGAUCUGAGGACGCCGGAGCAGCAAGCAGUCCGGUCAGACCGCCGUCGUGCACCCCUCGCACGCCGUCCGUCCACCCGCGAGCUCCCGCACCCGGCCGUCUUUGUCGAUCUCUGCUCGUGCGUCCAGGAGGCUGUUCGGACAGCACCAGCCUCGGAUCAGCCACCUUCGACCACCGUGAGGCCCCGCCGUUGGCCGCACGGCACCGCUGCAGCUCCUCCGCCCAUUCUCGACCCCAACCAGCCCCGGAUCUGCUCAUUUUCGGCCUCAACCAGCAGCGGGCAGAGAGUUGGAAAAUGGGUAUCGCAGCGAAGGUUUGGCCCGUUUUGGCCGGCUUCCCGACCCCGGAAGCUAGGCCCGCCUUGGAGACUAUCGACCCUCGCGUCGUCCUUGUCGUUUUGAGCCAUUCGGCUCGUUAAUCGGGUGAGUUUAUCCUCUAAUUCUUGCUUCGUGAGUUAAUGACGCUUAAGGGGUGUUUAGAUUAGUCUAAUUAGGUUUAGGUGGUUAGAUUAGAUUAUUUUAAUGUAAAUUAGAUUAGUUGUAUGAUUAGCUUAAUGGAUGUUUAAUUAGGGCUAAUUGUAUGUUUAAAUUAGUGUAAUCUAAUUUAAGCCCUAAUUGAUUAUUUUUCAUUAAAUAAUUAUUUCGAAUUUUUAAAUAUUAUUUUAUUAUUUUAUAUUAUUAUAAUAUAAUUUUUAAUUAUUUAAUUUUCGGAAUUAAAUUUAAUUAUUUAAUAAUUUCGAAAAUUAUGCCGGGAUGGCCAGUCGUUAGAAUUUUGCGCUGAUCGCAGUAGUGCGGUCGGUUUGUGUUAAUUGUAUGUUUAAAUUGAGAAAUUGAGUGAUUGAUGAUUAUGGUGAAUAAUUCCAAAAGUGUGGAAUUGUGUGAAAUUUAUGAAGUUGUGGUAUUUAACUUGAAAAUACCCGGUGUUAGCUUUUAGCACCGUAAUUGGUUUGUGUGAUCAGUUUGAAUCGAUUGGAUUGAUUGAUUGAUUGAAUUAAGAUAUGAAUUGGUUUAUAUAUAUGUAUCAGCUUGGGCGAGCCAUUAUGAUAUGCACAUAUAUAUAUUAUAUGGCAGCUUUUGGUGAGCUAUAGUAUACUAUAUUGAAUAUUGCGGCAGCUUCUGGUGAGCUAUAGUAUACUAUAUUGAAUAUUGCGGCAGCUUCUGGUGAGCUAAGAUCGUUUUAUCAGCUUGUGCGAGCACGAUCUAUAUAUAUAUCAGCUUGUGAGAGCAAUGAUCGUUUAUCAGCUUGUGAGAGCAACGAUCCAUAUAUCAGCUUGUGUGAGCUACCAUCUAUGUAUAUAUCAGCUUGUGCGAGCUACCAUCUAUAUCAGCUUGUGAGAGCAUUGCAUCCAUUUCAGCUUGUGUGAGCCGUGAAUGUAUUGAUGGAUGAAUAGAUGGUAUGGUUUAAUAGAUGGUAUGAAUUGAUAGAUAUGUGGAUCGUAUGAUAUCAAUUGGAUUGACUGAAUUGAUAGACCGAUGGGUAUGUCGGUAGUUUCAACUUGUGCGAGCAUUGUUUGAAUAUGAAUUGUACUGACGUGCAGGAAAGGGACUGAGGCGAGGUAAGUCCUCUAUUCUAUUUGUGUGGCUAGAGCGCCCUGAGGCGUAUUUUCUCCCUAAUUGAGUUUUAGAUGGUAGGACUCGCUGAGACGUAGUCUCAUCCCGGUUGUGGGAUAAUAUUUCAGGUCCCUAGAUGUCGGUCGUGGAGGACCGGAAGUCCUGGAGUUCGGAAGGUGGAGGUUGAAGAAUCGGUGAACGUGUCUGACAAGUUGGUCAUAGGACAGUUCCCUAGUUGUUGAGCCUGUCUAUUUUGUAGACAAUCCAGUGUUGUAUAUAAACCUAUGUGUUUAUAAGAAAGCUUGUUUGGUUGUGAUUGAUUGCCUGCUUUUCUAUCCCAAGUUAGAUGUUGUCAGGGGAUUUGUUUCGCUUCCGCAUGUGCAAUAAAAAUGAAUGGGUCGGCGAUGUGUCCUGGGAAGUCGCAUUUGUAUCGACCAGAGUGGGAUGUUCGCGCGCUCGGAGGAUCGGGGCGUGACAGUUAUAUCUUCAAAGUCUUUGCCAUUUCUUCAAACGGUAAUAUUUAAUGGGGUAAGAUUGAAUGUGGUUCACAAUGGUGAUCUACAUCUCCUUUUUUGUUGUUAUUUUAUUUUUUUGCCUGAAACUUUAUUCCCAAGUGAAGUUAGAAAAAAAUUAGUAAUCUAAUAAUUUAAAUUCUCUAUGGGAAAAUGCUAAUUGAGUUCCUAAUUAGAUAGUAUCUGAGAAACAAACUCAACAAAUCUCUCUUAGAACACAACCACAAAAAUAGAUUUAGAUCUGGGAAUUCCUUAAAGGUAUUUAUGUACUCAUUUAACCUCUAAAUCUGGAAGCCUGUUCAGCUAUAUUGGUGUCUUCAUACGGUAAUGAAUUGAGGACACGAGGUCUAGGUUUGCACCACUCACUAAGCAAGUCAUACAUAUGAAGAAGGAGAUUAUGGUGUGUGUGAUUAUCACUUAUGAUAAUGCGAGAUUCAAUGAUUGGUUGCGCUUUAUUUUGUUUUGAUACUGAGAUUGAUUCUUAUAGGAUGAGAGUAUGCUUAUCACAACAGUUUGUGCUUUGUUGUUCUACUUUAUUGUUUAGGAUUUGAUUUGCUUUGUUUUAGACCUCUCAAAUAUCAUCUUGAGAUCUUGAAUGUGAAUGAAACAUUCAGUUUCGAAAAAAUAAAAAAUCAUCCUAAUUUCAUUUUAUGUUUCAACAUCGCAAGCGAAUCUAAUGGUGAAUUUCUUUAUGAGCACGAUGUGAACACGCACCAUAUUUGCUUAUACGGGUUCGGUUGUGGGGAGUAAAACCUCAUCGGUUGCAAGGAGGGGCCCCCGCUUCAAGUACUGGAUAUGUCUGGACUAAUUGCACGAGAGGGAGGAUUUGAACUCGGCACUCAACGGAGGAGUCGAAACAUCAGUUCUCCACAAGCAUCGAUUCAGGGACCCCAAGUGAAAUCCUAGCCACUGGGCGGCGACCCUAGUGGUUUAGAUGGAAUGAUUUGAUAGAGGCUAAAUUUUCAUAGAGAAAAUGGAAAUGGAUCCUCUAUUAGCUUAGUUGAAUGGAAUUGUUUAGGUUGAUGUCAAACGCAAACCCAUAGUAAUAGGGAAAAUACCACAAACAAUUAUAAAUUUGUUAUAUUGGUACAAAUUCAGUCAUAAAUUUUCAAAAUGACAAAUUUAAUCUUAAACAUAUUUAAUUUGUACAAAUUCAAUCCAUUUGAUUAAUUUAAAUUGGAAAUUGCUUAUGUAAGUAUCAAUUGUCCUACAUGAUACGACCAACAUUAAUGUGGAUAUAUUUUUAUAAAUUUUAAAUAUUUUUAAUUUUUUCUUUCUUUUUUUCCAUGACCUAUGUCGGCCAUGGGAAAAAAAGAAAAUAAAUAAAAAAUUUAAAAAUAUCCAUAUCAAUGUCAGUCGUGUUAUGUAGGAUAAUCGGUAUUUAAGUCAGUAAUUUUCGACUUAAAUUCCCUGGAUGACUUAUAUUGUCUUUUUUUCUUUUUUUGGCUAAAUGAAAUUAAAGUUCAUGUGGGCAUGGACAAAGGGGUCUUUGGAUGCUCUCCAAAGAUCAUGACAAUUGCCGCGCGUGUCCUUGGCCAAAGGGAAAGCACAAGAUAUCAUGCACGUCACUGUCAACCUAAGUCCGCCACCAUUCGCCACUGCCGGCAUCCCCAUAUCAUCUCCUUCCGCCCUUCCAACGUUAGGCCGCUCGCCAUGCGCGAUCUGCGUUCCUCCAGACAAAAUGAAGAUGGAUCGUACCUCGUAGGGGGGCAAAUUUUGCAGUUCCGCCGGGGGGUGGGGGUGGGGAAUGUAAUCACGGGGGAAGGAAGAAGAAGAAGAAGUCAUGGUCUAUUUCAAGCUCGAACCAAGUUAAAGCUCGAGCGGAAGAUUGAAAGAGGGAAUCGAUUCGAUAUGCAGUUCUUGCAAUUUUUCCUUGUCUUCACUCGUGUGAGUCCGUCGCUAAUCACUUCUGGUGUGGCCACUAAAGUGAACACCAUGUUUGGAAGAUUUGGUGGCUGGAGAGACCUCGCAAGCCUGGCCAUGAGUUCAGGCUUCAAGCUUCGGCGGCCACGGCGCGAGCUUGAUGAGAAGAGGGAGACAUACAGAACGAAAUGAAGAGAGAGAGAGAGAGAGAGAGAGAGGCUGUGGUUGUGGGUGAGAGAAAGGGGGUAUAUUGGAACAUUCAAAUCGACUGAAAAUGGGGAAUUGAGUGACCUUCAACAUUCAAAUAAGCACCCGAAAAAUCAUACAUUUCGUCGUGCCCAGGUAAAACAACACAAUUUGCACGUGUGCUCGGGAAUUCGUACAAAGACCGGUCCAAUGUUUACGUGCACGAUAUCUUAAGCUUAUUGGAGCAAAACAAAAAUAUUUGGGGAGGAGGAGAAGUGAUUCAACGAAUACCAAGUUCGUCGUUUUAGCAAAAUUGAUUUAUGUAGUCAUACCUAAAUGAAAUUAUGAGAAAAAUGUAACGAUUUGUCGAAAUGAUUAGCAAGUUGGAUUGAUAACUAUCGCGGAAAAGAAAAAUGUGUGCUUUGAUGCAUAUAUUUAGUAUCAAGGUUCAGUUUUAGUUUUUUCUUUUUUGAGUCAUGUACUGAUAUCAAGCAACCUGGAAAUAGUAUGCAUCAUUUUAGUGUCUGGCAUGCAAACAUUCACAACAAUACUACUGAUAGACAGUGCCAACUUUAGCAGAAUGGCGACUUUACAGUGCAUUCACCACGCCAAGGACGGUGACCUCUGCAUCGACCAUGCAAGUAUGUUGGGAUCGUAAAAGGUGGCAUGCGAAAUACUUAAAUAUGUUCUCCUAGGAAAAAAAUAGAAAUAAAAAGAAAUCAAGAAAUAAUUAAAUUAACAAAGAUAUUGCAAUUUUUAUAUAAUAACUUUUCAUAUAAGUGUAUCGUCAAAUUCAGAAACCAAAAUUGUUUAUAAACAUAAUUCGUUUAUGAAUAAUUUUCACCACUCACCUUGGGAUUAAUCCGAUGGUAAGGAUUUUUCCACUCUUUCAGUCCAGGAACUGAUAGUUGUAAGUUUGAUUCCUACUUUAGGGAAUUUAGAUUCCAUGCACGGUGAAUUUAUGUGACAGUUCCUCUUUAGAUGGCCAGCUAUUACGAUCGAACCCAUGAUUUAUCAAAAAGAAGGAAAAUUUUUAUGAGGGUCGACCAUAUUGGACUAUAUUUCACCAUGGACAGAAUAGUGGGAAUUCACUUGGAGUUAAAUCAUAUAUAUAUAUAAAAUCAUUAUUAAUACCCAAUUUUAACAUGGACGGUUUGCUUUUGACUGGACUGAGGAGUUUUGCUCGAUUCGAUACUCGAGAACUGGUUUAAAAUAUCAAAUGAUCUUUAAAAAUGAAAUAUAAUUUUCAUGAAAAACAUUGUUAUUUAAUAAUAAAGAUGCUGGCGAUUAUCAAUCAUAAGCUGACGAAGACAUUCACUUACUUCAACGUUCAACCUCAUUAUGUUUUAAUCAUCCGGUUAACAUACUCGGCAACAAUACAACGACGAUUUCCAGCCUCGCAGAAUUUGCACGCUCAAACUCUCAACCUAAGGCCCCCGCCACAAUUCUCCAUUGCCGGCAACCGUGCCCAGCGUCUCGGAUCGCCCCUCCAACAUUACACCGCUUGCGGUGGCCAUGGUGGCAAGCUCGUAUCGGGGUUCUUUUGGUGACGAACUGAGAAAUUGUGUAUGUCUCACGGAAGGAUAGAUUUUGCUAUUUCGUGAGAAAUUACAUGGUGGAUAAACUAUGUCGUGACUAAAAUAAAUCCGGUGCCCAUGGGCAAAGCUUGAGAAAAGUGAGAGAUAAACAAAAUAUAAAGAGAGGAGGUUGCGAUUGUGUAUAUGAGAAAGCAAGGGCGUAUUUUGGAAAGGAAAUUUGCGAUAUUUGUGAACAGAUGGGCAAUGUUUUAAAUUAAGGGUGCAAACAUGAAUUUUUUAAUAAAAAGUAGAGGUAUAUAAAUGGGUAUUUAGGUGAAUAUUCAUAUAUGUUUUCGAUAUUUUUCCUUUAUUUAUUUAAAUAAGUAGAAUAGGCCAACAAAUUAUUAUUACUACUUUAGCAUUCGAAUUAAAGGUCUUUUAACAUUCAAAUAAAGCCCCUAAAAAGGCUUCGUCUGCCCAAAUAAAACAUUGCAAUUUGCAUCUGCGCUCACUCGAGAAUUUGCACAAAGACCGGACUUUUAGAGACAAUUCGCACAAAGAUUAUGUCUCCAUAAACAAUAUUUUGAUGCGCAAAACCUUAAGCGUAUUCCAGCAACAUAAUAAGUUUUGGGGAGCAAAAAUAGUGAUUUGAUGAAUAUCAAGUUCAUAAUAAUUUAGUAGGCGGGAAUUGAUUUACAUAGUGAUACUUAGAUGAUAUUAUCAGAAAACGAUAUGUUGAAGCGAUUACUGGGUCAGACUGGAGUUAAGAUUUUGCUGAGUGAACGUAUGCUUUGAUUCUUAUCUUUCAGAUCAAGGUCCAAUUUCUAAUUUCUUCUUUUGAAUUAUAGUGCUAAUUAUCAAGCAACGAUUGGGGACCCAAAUAAAUGAAUGGAUGGCCUGAGAGAAUCAGGGCCCGGAAAUAAUCUGUAUCAGAUCAGUGUUGUGCUGGUAUGAAAAUAUUCACAACAAAUACUACUGAUUGAUAGUGUGAAUCUCAACGGGAUGGGGACUUCACAGCGCAUUCACCACGCCGAGGACAGUAACCUCUGCUUCGACCAUGCAAGUGUCCUUCACCAAAUAGCCUGUGUUCGGAGAACGAAAGUCGGCAUGCGAAAUGAAUCUCGCCCAACCCCAAUCCGUGAUCAGUAUAGCCGCAUUUCCCAAGCCAAGUGAUCAGACGAGAUUAACAUCCAAUUCUUUUAGCCGCAUGCCUAUGAGAACGUCGAGAGCGAUACCAUUUCUGGUUUCCGGCUGUGAAUACUUUUGAGUCGUAGAAUUCCUUGUCCAAUUUCGAGAAGUUGUCGACCUUCCACCUGUGCUUCUGGCUGAUUGCGUCCUUUAUCAUCAACAGGUUUUCUCCUUGGCCGGUGCUCUUUUCCCAUGUAACGGAAACUUCUGCGCCAAACACACCAGUAUCAUCCACGAGAUAUCCGUUCUAUUACUUAAUUCAAUAUUCUUUUACCUUCUUUUUUUAUGCGAAAUUGGGAGCCACCCCAAAAAUAAGACGCUUAUCUUUAGAGGGCCUCAUUAACUCAAGAUUCAUUCUAUUGACCAUGGAUUUAUAAUUGUAUUUAAUAACUUGCUAUAAAGGAGAUGGUAUGUGCUGCUUGAUCAUGCAUGCAUCAGGAGAAUGCAUGUUAACCAUGUGGCACAACGAUUGAAGAGUAUAAGUAGAUGAGAAAGUGAUACCUUGGAUUAUCAAGUCGUUGUCUUUGUCCUGGUCACGCAGAAAGAAUCUGACUAAAGCAUGAACUCCCCAACCUGAGGGGAGUCAGCUUGUUUCUACUAUUGACAGGUAAAGCGAAACAUGCUCUUCCACGUUCUUGCUUUUGUUCCCAUUCGGGUAAAGAACCAGCUUCCUUUGAAAAUAAGAGAGAAGAAGAAUCACAGUCCAAUAAAGCCGGAAAGAUUGGUAAAUAAAUAUGUGGAUUGGGAAAAGUGAAGGAUCGUUACCAUUUGUAGCCUCCAGCUUGGAAGACCCCCGACUCAUACUUGUCCACGGAGUUCUUUUGAGAGAGAUGAGUAUGAUUGUAUUUUGACCACACACGAGCUUCUGACACUGUUCUCUCAGCUCCUGCAAAUGAGACAAAAGGCAAGGAGAAAAGAUUGGUGACAGUGAAGCACAUUUUCAUUGCUUCUUUUGUUCAAAUUACGAGAGAAAGAGUCACGUACCCUGUCGAUCAUCAAAUGCGGGAUUAGCCAUUUGCAAAGUAAGGAGACCGAUGAGAGGAUCCGUGAAAUUUAUUGGCUUAUAUAUCAUAUUGUAUAUGCAUUUGUUGCUAGCUUUUUUAAGGUGCUUUACAGUACCGUUAUGCUUUGCUUAAAGAUGGUUUCCUUUCCGUUCGAGGAAGAGUAUCCAGUCCUUGCCCUGAUUCCACUGAAACAUCGUGAAAGCAAGAGCCCCAGCAAGGAAAGAGAGUUCGGAUCCUUGCCCUGAUUUCUCUGCUCGCUAGUCAUGGCAUGAUCAUGCAUAUGCGCAUUUGCACGCUAAAAGUAUAAGUACACGAAAAGUACCAAUUAUUUCUCAAAAUGCAAUAAAGUUAUGAAACUUCUAUUAACACAAUCGAGUCUUAGCAUCCGUGAAUAUCAUAAAAUCAAAUGCCUCUGCAAGAUCCUUGUUUAAGGUAAAAUUUAACGUGGAAAUGUUUAUCGCUUUACUCAAAACUUUUACAAAUAACAGUUAAUUUUUCAAAACGAAGUGGACUCAACUCAACGUGAAGUGUACCACUGCAUCCAAUCAAAUAUAAGGGUGUGCUUAUUUCUCAAAAAAUUAGAGAUUUGAAUCUACGAAUAAUGUCUUUAUCGUGUACGAAAAUGUUCAGAUAUGUAUUGUUGUUGAAAAUGAAAAGAUAUUCAUUGACUUUUUAUUUCAAGUAAUACAAGCAAUUAUUUUUUAGAAAAUAUUCAAUAAAUCAUUCAUUCCUUCGCUAUUCAUGUCUUUUAACAUAAAAGUAUUGGUAAUUUCAUAUUUUCAGUUGAAUCCUCUGCAACUAAGUUUAAUUAUGAAUUCCGUUUGUGACAAAGGAUAAUCAUUCUUGCUAUCGCAUACCAAAAAAUACAUCAACAUGAUGAAUUUUGACUUGUACAAUAGGUUACUUAUUUGAUGUUGUCUAGCCCUAAUCUCUCCUCUUUUUUUUUUCUUUUUUCCACAGAGCAUUGUAUGGAAGGAAAAGACCAGUACCAUCAGCCCUCUCUUUCUGCAUACUUUCUGAAUACUACCCUAAGGGGCACAAUUUUAUGUUUCAACAUCCCAAACCAAUCUAGAUGGUUUGAAUUUCUUUAUGACCAUGAUUUGAACCCAUAUCGUGUUUGCUUAUACCGAUUUGGUUGGGGUGGUAAAACCUCAUCGGGUGCAGGGAGGGCUCCCACUCCGGGUACUGGGUAAGUCUAAACAGACAACGCGGGAAGGAGUGCAAUUCUAAACAGGAAUUGAAUGCCCUUUAACAUUCAAAUAAGCACCUAAAAGAUCAUAGGUUUUGCCGUGCCCAGGUAAAACAACACAAUUUGCACGCGCACUUGAGAAUUUGUACGAAAACCGGGCUCUAAGAGAUGAUUUGCGUGAAGAUUAUGUCUCUAGAAACGAUAUGCUGGUGCACAAAAUCUUAAUUUAUUGGAGCAAACUAGUGUUGACAUCUAAUUUAAAUUCAUUUUUAGAAAUAAAAGAUAAUCUUUGAUUAUAGAGGCAAAUUUUGAAAAAAAAAAAAAACUUUGAAUUAAAAAAUGCAACAGUCGUGUGAUUUUGAAGCCGCAUUUUUUUUUGAAGAAGUUGAGUGAAUAUUGGGAAAUCUUCAACAACUUUGAGCGCUUUCACUAUAAAAUGUGAGGCUUCAGAACCGAGAAGGGGGGCUUCUCUUCGUCUUUCGUCGAAGAAAACAAAAACAAGGAAAGAGAGAAGAAAGGUUUUCCUUUGCUUUUUUAUUCGUGUCGUUGAGAAAACAAAAGAGAAAAGCAAAAAAGUGAAGAAGAAAAGUCAACAACAAAAGAAGCAAAAGCUUUUGCUUCUGCAGAGAGCAUAGAAAAAUGGGAUAUUGGGUAGGUUUUACUGUCCACGUAGGUGAAAUGUAAGACCAUAGAGAAGUCAACGCGUGGCAAAUUUUGGGCCCACCUGUCAGCGCCCACUCUCUCCAUUAACUCCGUUUCUCUCCCCUUUACUCUCUCUCUUCCCCUCCGUUUCUGCGCACAACUCCCUCGGUCCCCUCUUCUCUCUCCACUUCUCUUUUCUUUCUCUUGCGUUUGCCAUGGCUCGAGCUCGAGUCUGCUCAUGGCCGCUUCAGGUCGAGGAGGGACGGUUCGCCGCCGGACGGAGACCGCAUUGAGCUUCGUUUGCGAUGAGAUGGCUUGAGGCCGAGCUCGAAACUCGAGCGCUAACCAAAGCUCUGAGUUUGAGGUCGAGCGAGUGUUGUCCAUGGCUGGCUGCGAGUGUCGUGUUAGACGCAAAUUGCGCAAACCCCAAUGUCUCCAUAACUAGAACAAAAACAUGCAUUAUUGAGUAGAAAGAAUUGAUGCACCUAUUUUGGGAUCCAUUGUUCUUGAAGCGGAAGCGGAAACACAAUGUUCCACGCACAAGUCCUUCUCCUCUAUUGCCCUCCAUAUCACUGGCUCAAUGAGGCGGCCCCCUCACGUGUAGCGUUAGGUAAACGCCCCUUAGGUGAGGAUACAUGUGAGAAUUAGGGUUAGAGGAGAGACUUGAGCAUUAUUUAUAGAGUUUCCAGCCAGUCCCUCUCAUUACGGGCCAGGCUCAACUCGGCCCACACUAGCCAGCCCAUAUUAGACUAAUUAAGAAACCUACUAUCUCACCUUAGACCAAACCCCGUAAAACGGUAAACAUUAAACGGUAAAUUACAAUAUCAAUUAAUGUAGUCCAUAAUUAGAAAAAAUCUUACAUUCUCCCACUUGGACUAUAUUAAUUGAAAUCGUACUGUAUGUGCGCACAUUGGUCCAGAGAUAAUUCUUAAUAGUCAAUCCUAUCCCAUAAAGUCUUAAAUACCGAAUCAUGGCGGUAACUGCAUGUAUACACACAGAGCCUUUCAUGGUCACGAGUGCUCUUAACUUUAUUGAUAUGGAUUUAAUAUGGUAGUGUGGCAAAUGGAUAACAUCUCUCAUAGAGAGAUCCCAUUUGUCAGUCACCAUUCUCUUACCUUAGGCGACACAAAAAACUUAUGUCACUAGAGAAUGCUUUAUGGUUCCAAUGAACCCAUAUAUGUCUUGUCCUUACGGUUAACCUUUUUUUAUGUAUCUCAAGACAUAUGCAAAAGGCUAAUUACCAGAUGCUCGGAUGCCCCUAGCCUUCACUCAAGGUUUAAGUAAUACCUUGAGACUUUUAACAAUAUAUAUAUUCAACAUAAUAACAAUCCAUUCAAAAAUAUUUUAUUGAAUGCAAAAGUUGACAUAUAUAUAUAUAUAUAUAUAUAUAUAUAUAUAUAUAUAUAUCAAAGUGUUACUAAAUUGUAACAAAACAGACGUAAACUUUAUUCAAAGAAAAAUAAAAACACAGCUCCCACUAAAUAACAACAUCCCAAGAUGCUCCUAGGCCCAUACUAAUGACAUGUCGAUCAAAAACACAUGGGCGUAGGCCUUUAGUUAGUGGGUCUGCAACCAUAUCAUCUGUAUGAAUAUAAUCUACUGCAACGUCACCAUUAUGUACUGAUUCUUUUAUAGUAAAAAACUUGACCUCCAUGUGUUUAGACCCCUUUAAACUUCUGUUGUUAUUAAUAAACAACACUGCUGAGUUAUUGUCACAAUAUAACUGUAUGGGUCUAUCCACAAAAUCAUAAACUGAUAACUCUCUAAUGAGGUUCUGGAGCCAAAUAGCUUGAGUAACAGCUGAAAAACAUGCUACAAACUCCGCUUGCAUGAUUGAAGAAGAUAUGGAUUUCUGUUUCUCGCUCUUCCAUGAUACUGCACCUCCUGCCAACAUAAAUAUGUAUCCAGUCAUUGAUUUCUUAUCAUCUUGACAACCAGCAAAAUCUGCAUCUGAAUACCCUACUAGUUACAGGUUUGGAACAUAUCUAAAAAUCAGCAUAUAAUCUUUUGUUCUCUUUAAGUACCUUAAAACCUUCUUGGCAACAACCCAGUGAUCGCAUCAUGGAUUAGACUGAUAUCUGCCUAGAAGCCCUGUUGCAAAAGCAAUAUCUAGCUUAGUGCAAACUUGAGCAUACAUGAUGCUUCCAAGCACACUAGCAUAAGGUACAUCCUUCAUUUGAGCUUUCUCAAAAUCUGAAUUAGGGCAUUGUGAAAGACUCAAUUUAUCACCCUUAACAACAAGAGCAAUUCCUAGUUUGCAAUCAUGCAUAUUGAAUCUUUCUAAAAUGUGAUCAAUAUAUGCCCUCUGAGAUAAACCCAAUGAACGACGUGAGCGAUCCCUAUGGAUCUCAAUGCCAAGAACAAAAGACGCCUCACCAAGGUCUUUCAUGUCAAAAAUUUUCGAUAACAUCCGCAUUGUCUCAUGCAGUAAACCAAUGUCACUACUAGCAAGCAAGAUAUCAUCUACAUAAAGUAUGAGAAAAAUAUAUUUCCUCCCACUGACCUUGGUGUAUAUGCACUGAUCUACUUUGUUUUCAAUAAAUCCAAAUGAAGUAACAACACUAUGAAACUUGAAAUACCACUGUCUAGAAGCUUGCUUAAGGCCAUAAAUAGACUUUUUCAAUCUACAAACAAGCUGACCUGAGUCAUCUGCUACAAAACCUUCAGGCUGCACCAUAUAAACCUCCUCAUCAAGGUCUCUAUUUAGAAAAAGCAAUCUUAACAUCCAUCUGGUGUAACUCCAUAUCGUAAUAAGCUACCAAUGCUAAGAUCACUCUAAAGGAAUCUUUAGAAGAAACUGGAGAAAAUGUUGCUUCAUAAUCUAUUCCUUCUCUUUGAGUGAAACCCUUAGCUACCAGUCUGGCUUUAAACUUUUCAAUUUUUCCUUUGGAAUCCCUUUUAAUCUUGAAUACCCAUUUGCAGCCAAUAGGUUUACAACCUUCAGGCAAUUCAACAAGCUCCCAAAUACCAUUGUGUUUCAUAGAUUGCAUCUCGUCUUUCAUCGCAUUACCACAAAUCUGAUUGAGGACAUGAGAUGGCUUUAGUAUAAGUCACGGGAUCAACAACACAGCCUAUGUCAUAAUCAUGCUCUCCCAGGUAGACUAGAUAGUCUGAUGGUAUAGCUGAACGUCUUUCUCUAGUUGAUCUUCUGAGUGGAGCUACUUCAUCCUCAUUUUGAAUCUAAGGAACUUGUGGAGUUUCUUCAGGAACAGUCUCAACAACAGGAUCAUGAGCCACAACAAGUUCAGUUUGUGGCGCAAGAGGCUCCAAAAUUGUCUGCACAGGAUGAGAUGGGGAUCCAGUAAUCCCCACCAUACUAUCAUCUUCGAUAGCUUGUGAGCAGCUGCCCUUUUCAGCUACAUCAAAUUCCAAAAAUUUUGCAGUCUGAGAUUCCACAAUUCUUGUACCUCCAUUAGGGUUAUAAAACCGAUACCCCUUUGAAUGGUCUGGGUAAGACACGAAGUAGCAUUGAAUAGUUUUGGAAUCCAACUUACUCAAUGUUGGAUUAUAUAACUUCACUUUUGCUGGACAUCGCCAAACUCUAAGAUGAUUCAAGCUAGGUUUACGUCCAGUCCACAACUCAAAAGGAGUCAAUGGAACUGCUUUAGUAGGAACACGAUUUAGAAUAUAAAGAGCUGUUUUCAAAGCUUCUCCCCACAGAAAAUUAGGUAAAUUUGUCAUACUAAUCAUACUUCUCAUCUUGUCCAUAAGAGUACGAUUUCGCCUUUCAGCUACACCAUUUUGUUCAGGAUUUCCAGGCAUAGUAAAUUGACCUAUUAUCCCAUAAUCCUCUAAGUAUUUAGCAAACCGCCCUUUAAGUUGUCCAGCAUCACUGUGCCUACCAAAAUACUUAGCACCACGAUCAGAUCUGACAAUCUUAAUAACUUUUCCCAACUGUUUCUCCAUUUCAGUCCGAAAAAUCUUGAAUUUAUCAAGAGACUUGGACUUUUCUUUAAUCAAGUAUAAGUAUCCAUAUCGGAAAUAGUCGUCAAUAAAUGUGAUGAAAUAAAAAUUUCUGCACAAAUUAGCAGUGUAUGGUCCACUAAUAUCAGUGUGAAUAACCUCCAACGAGUCUGAACUUCGUACAUCAGAUUUCUUCUUUAUCUUAGUCAUCUUACCUCUGCAACAAUCUACACAAGUCUCUUGAUCAUCUUUAAGAGUAGGCAAGAUAUCAGCCUUUAUAAGCCUUUCUACUCUUUCUUUAGAGAUGUGACCAAGACGUUUAUGCCACAAUGCAUAAGACUGUUCCUUAGGUAGAGGCCUUUUGGAAACAACAUUUUCAGCGGAAUAAGCAACGUAUAUGUCGUUGGGAGAUAAACUCAAUCGAUAUAAUCCAUCGGAUAAAUUGCAACACCCAAUCUUAUUUGAAUCAUAAAACAUGGAAAUAGUAUUACUCUUUAUUUCAAAAGAGUAUCCACACAUGUCCAAACAAGACACAUAAACUAAAUUCCGCCUAAAAGAAGGUAUGUAAAAAGUGUUUCUUAACACCAUCCGAAAACCAGAAUCCAAAAUCAAAAUAACAUCUCCCACGCACUCAACGUCAACUCCAACGCUAUUUCCAACAGUGAGCUUUGAUUCAUCCUGAGUUGGCGUCCUUCGGUUUAUGAACCCCUUUAGGCUCUCUCUUAUUUCUCUUAGACAACUAAGCCUUAAACUUGCUACAACGUUUCUUCAUGUGUCCUCUCUCCCUACAAAAGUAGCAAAGAACACCAUCCUUCUUGGUGAUUGCCUUCUUAGGACCCAGAGUGUUAGAAGGACCUGCUCCUUCAGAAUUUCCUUUGUUAUUGGAAGGACCAGCAACUUCUGAAUUGCUUUUAUGGGUAUAAGUUUUCACAUUCUUACCCUUGUCACUAGCAAAACUAGUAGCAUAAAGAGCAAUAUGUCCUUUAUCUUUCUUCAAUUUCUCUUCCUCUGCCACCAACCUUGCAAUCAGGUCAUUAAUAGACCAGGUUUCAUCUUGGGAACUAUAAUUGGUCUUAAUAAUCCCAAAAUCAGGAGGAAGAGUAUUUAGAGCUUGAUGGACAAUGCAAGCAGUAGGAAUUUCAACAUUGAGAACCUGAAGCUUUGUUUGCAAAUCAACCAUCCUCAGAACAUAAUCUCUAACUCCACCAGAACCAUCAUACUUCAUAGUAAAAAGUGUUUGCAUAUGUGUCCCUAUCUCAGCAUUAGGCGACACACGGUUUCUAGCCAUCAAAGCUUCCAUCAUUUGCCUAGCAUUGUAGUCUGCAGGCAAACCACUUUUCAAGUGUUCCUAAAUGGAACGCUUCAUGGAUAACAAGCAAAUUCUAUUGCUCUUUUCCCAUGCAGCAAAAUUUGCUUUUUGAGCCUUUGUACUCUCGGCAGUCAAAACUGCCGGCCGAUCAGUAGUAAGAGCCACAUGAACAUCAGCCAUCUCCAUAGCAAACAGAAAAUCCUCUCUCCAUCUCUUAAAAUUCGAACCAGCAAGAACCUCAAUGGUGACGGAGUGACCAUUUACAGAAAAAGUGACUGAAAGACAAGCAGUAUAUAUAAUUAGCAUCAUGUGAGCAUUGUGUAACUUGACGCACAAGUACACAUCCAAAGAGUUAUAUGCAUAAUCACAUAAUCACCUUUGGGCAGAAUACAUGAGAAGCAAUUGUACACUCCCCACACGAUAAGGGUUAUGAGAAUAUAUUCCAAUCUUCGUGAAUUCAUCACCUUUGGGUUUAGGAUCGGUCACUCCUCCACCACACAAUCAUGUAUCCCUCUAUGAACUAAUACAUAAUCACCUCCUUUGGGAGUAUGACUAUGCAUUAGACCAGGAGACAUCCCAAUCAAUAUACGAGAUCGAAAUUUCUCAAACUCAACCAAGUGUGCCACUUUGGCGGUCACAACUCAAUUGAAUCCUUGAAACUCUCUCAUCCCAGGGAUAUAAUCUUUACAUCUCACAUACAUCAUAUACAUGUGAUUUAACUUUAGUGAUAGGGGCAUCAUAUCACUCAAAUCACAUGUCAUGCUAAUUACAUUGCCUUAUUCAUUAAUAAAGUUUAAUUUUUAUUAAUGAAUCACACUUUUAUAAUGUUUAUGUGAUGACAUACCUGUAUCCCGGCACUUGUAUUUUCUAAAUCACAGAAAAAUACAAGAAAAAAUACGCAAAAAUACACUAAAAAGCACGUAUUUAGGGCUUUGCAUGUAUUUUCACAUCCAUAAAAUCAUCAAAUAUAUAAAAUAAAUACACCAUGACGUAAGGAAUAAUCAUACGAGUCCAUCGCCGCCGGCCACGUGCAAAUCGGAGCCUCCACGCACCCGCACGCGCCGCCUGAGUGCGCGGCGCGUGGAGCCCACGCGUGGGCGUCAAAGGCCGAUCAAAACCGGUCCAACCGGUGGCGGUCCGACCGGUUCCCGGUCCAACCAUCCGAUUCAGCUGCCCGGUCCGAUCGGUUGACCGGUUCGGUCAACGACUAACCGGGUCGGGUCGGACGCCAUUCGGGUCAGGUCGGGUCCGAUCGAAUUCGAAUCCGGGUCGCUGACGUCAUCAUGACGUGAGCGCAUGCAGAAUCCAAGUCCGUGUCGUUAACGUCAUCGUGACGUCAGCGCACGCGUGCGCCGCACGCGCGAGUAGCGCCCCGCGCGUGGGCGCGCGUCUUCGACGCCCGGUGGCGCAUGGCCGCGCGUGGGGGGGCGUGGGGCCUCCCUCGGCGACGCGCCUCCCACGGUUUUGCUCGCCUCGUCGAGCCUAGUCCAAAUUUGUGAUUUAAUUUUAUUUUUAUUGAACUAAAAGACUCGAAAAUCACAAAUUAAGGCAAGAUCCGUACUAAUUAGGGCUAAUCCGUACAAAUUAGGGAAAAAUCAAUUGUGUUCGUGUUCUAGGUUAUGGAGGGUCUAAUACCACAUGUUAGACGCAAAUUGUGCAAACCCCAAUGUCUCCAUAACUAGAACAAAAACAUGCAUGAUUGAGUAGAAAGAAUUGACGCACCUGUUUUGGGAUCCAUUGUUCUUAAAGCGGAAGCGAAAACACAAUGUUCCACGCGCAAGUCAUUCUCCUCUAUUGCCCUCCAUAUCACUGGCUCAAUGAGGCGGCCCCCUCACGUGUAGCGUUAGGUAAACGCCCCUUAGGUGAGGAUACAUGUGAGAAUUAGGGUUAGAUGAGAGACUUGAGCACUAUUUAUAGAGUUUCUAGCCAGUCCCUCUCAUUACGGGUCAGGCUCAACUCGGCCCAUACUAGCCAGCCCAUAUUAGACUAAUUAAGAAACCUACUAUCUCACCUUAGACCAAACCCCGUAAAACGGUAAACGUUAAACGGUAAAUUACAAUAUCAAUUAAUGUAGUCCAUAAUUAGAAAAACUCUUACAUGUUGUCCAUGGUGGACGGGAAAAAACAAUGCCCAAGAACAGGCGAGGACGACCCACAUGAUGAAAUCGCAUUAAAUAAGGAAACAGAAGCCGACCCGAUACGCCUACGUGUCCGUUUACAAAACCCAUUUGCUCAUUUCCUCCUCCCAGUUCCGCGUCCGACCCCGCCUGCUGAAAUUCUUCAAGAAAGUUUGGGUUUUUAUUUUUCAUUUCAUCUAUCCUUGUCCGUCUACCCGUUUGGUUGUCAUCCCAAAGACCAAUUGGGAGAUGGGUCUGAUCUUCUCGAGCAAGUCCUUGCGUUCCGCGCCCCCCCCUCCCCGCACAGCCGUAACAGCCAUGUAUGAACGUCAGCGUGCUUGUGAGCCCCUUGAUCAUAUGCCCUCCGAACCGCGCAAAGUCCCUGCGAGGCAUCGCCGUGAAGCCUCCCACUUCCGCUUGUCCAUGGUCCGGACCCUUUUGGUGUCUCUGCCUUUGGAUUGCGAAGAAGAACAGCGUGGCAAUGACCAGCGAGCUGGCCACAGUGACCGCCACCGCCUUGAUGAUCGUCUUGCUUGAGGACGAUGACAAGUCCGGCGACAGCGGCGACGCUUGGAGCGAGUCUAUUACGGAAGGAGGAGGAGAGUUGGUGACGGUGGUGGCGGUUGGAGAAAAGAGAAGUAGAGAGAGAAGAGGGAGAGAGAGUUGUCGGCAGAAACGGAGGGGAGGAGAGAGAGUAAAAGGGAGAGAGACGGAGCGUUAACGGAGAAGUGGAGCCUAACAGGUGGGCCAAAAUUCUAUGGUCUUACAUUUCGUCUACGUGGAGUGUAAAACCUACCUAAUAUUUUCUCGAAAAAUAGGACGUGCAGCAGACCAGCAGAGGUGAAAAAAAGAAAAAGAAAAGGAAGAACAGUUGUUCUUCUUCUCCGAAGGGUCUUCUGCCAGCGACCACUUCUACUAAGAAGUUGGCUCUCCACCGCACCUCUAAACCAGCGAGCUCGCCUCGAUGACCCAUGACCCGCCGCUGCCGCCGCUGCCGUCACUCACUCGCGCUCCCCGUCCGCGAGCCCAUCUGUUCUGCACCCAUUGUCGCAGAUCGCGACACCAGUAAUCCGCACCCCCGUGCUCUCGCCGUUCAAUCAAUCGCGCCUAACACCCGCUGUUGCGAUUCCUUCCAGCGAACCUCAAACAUCACUCGACGGCUCCGCUGCUCUGCCCGACGUCGUUGCAGCACCGCCCGCAACACCUUCGCCGCAGCUCGAUUCCACUCGCGUAGACCGCCGCAUCUCAUACUGCCCUCAAGCCAAUCCGUCGCGCCCGCCAGCCUUCGCUUGCGCGUCUGAAGCCCUGACGUUGUUGCCUCUGCUCCAAUCCUCGAAGCCCAGCGAGCGCCACGCCGUCACACUGACCCGCGAAGCCACCGCCGUUCUGUUGAUCUCGCCUCUAACUGACUGGCGACUCAUUAACCCGUAACAUUUCUGCCGUGAGCUCGCCCCGAAGCCGUUACUCACCCUACAGAUCGCGUCUCUCCUCCUGCAGGCGAACCUUGCACCGGCGACCCGCGCCUGCACGAGCACCGCACGGCACUGUUAGCUGUCCCUCUCGCCCGCUCCGACGCUGGCCAUCCAUCGCCGCACGUUGUCACCCCAUCGAUGCUAUUGUUCACCUUCCCGUAGGUAGUUUAAUUUUUAAUUUUUAUUCUUACUUUUCACUAACUUUUAUCUUAUUUUAUUUAUUUUGUUAUUAUUGUUCAAUUUAGAAUAUUGAAAUGUGCUUUUCUUUUAUAAAUCUCGUACGCAUUAACUGCAGGUGUUUUAUCCUAAAUUAUGGUAAUUAUUAAUUUGACCCGCAAGACGUCAGGUCAUUUUUUUAAUUACUUUAAUUUUUAGGAAUUUUGAUAGUAUUUCAAUUGUUAAAUCAUUAAGAGUUAAAAUAAUUGUUAAUUUAAUCCGUAAGACAACGGAUUUUUUUUCGGUUAUUUUAAUUCUUAUCUUCAUUCUUUUAAAAUAAUUACUUGUUUGGAAAGAUUAAAAAAAAUCAAAAAAUCAAAAAGUACAUAAAAAUCUAAAUAUUGCAUUAGAGCAUUUAGGUUUAGUAAAUUAGGACUGUAUUUUUAGGGUUAGUAAAUUAGAACUGCAUUUAUAGGAUUAUAAUUUUUAGAUUAUACUUUUAGAUCGGUGAUUUUUGUUAGGGCUAAUUUUAAAUAAUGUUGGCAUGUCUUGAUUUUUUAUAUAGCUUUUAAGAUAAGAUAUAGUUUAAGUUAAAUUGAUUCCUAAAAUAAAUUAGAAUAUCAUUCACUUUAGUUAGUCUAAUUAGUUUUUUUUAUUAAUUCCAAAUUUCAAUAAAAAGAAUCCAAAAAAUAUUAGGUACAUAUGAAUUAAUUUGCAUAAUAGGUUUAAUUAGAAUUUGUUUAUUAGUAAAAUAUUGUCAUAUCUAGAACUUACGUACUUAGGUCCAUACACAUUUCACAUUAAAGCAACACACCUAGAUAUUUUUAGAUUAAGUCAAUUUUCAUUUAGUAAAACAAAAGAGGGACAAAAAAUGUUAUGCAUGCCAUAUGAGUUAUAGUUUAAUGGUUUUUUUUUAAUAAAAAGGAAAAUGCUAAAAGAUUAUCAUUGCACCAUUAAGUUACUUUCUUUUAAAUAAAAAACAUUAUGUCAUUAAAAAAGAAAAAGAAAAGAUCAUUUCCUUGGUUAGUAAAUAGGUUAAUUCAUAAUUAAUCUCAUAUCAUCAUUACUUAGCAUAGGUUGCAUAUAUGCAUUAAAAAAUGAAUCAUCAUUAAAAUAAAAUCAUAAAAGAGCAUGCGUGUAGAAUACCAUGUCAUUCAUCCCAUAUCACGUAGCACAUGCAUAUUUAGGAUUAUAUAAAUUAGAUUGCAUACAUAUAGUGAUAAGUUUAAGUCAUACCAUAUGAAUUGCAUCUUGCAUGUCAUUAAAAUAAAUUCAUGUAUAUUAAGUUAGAUUAAGAUUGCACAAUAAUAAAAAUUAGGUGUCAUGUCAUUUAGAAAUCAUGUUUAGGGCAUGCAUUUUUAUUAGCAUUUUUUAUUGAAUGUUACUUUAUUGAUUGUGCAUCCGCAUGACCACAAUUUGCAUGUUAGUAGCUUAAGUUAAAAUUAAUCAACAUUGCCUGCAAAAUAUUUUUGAAAUUAAAAUAAAAAGAUACCGAAAGGGCGUUAGACUUAUCUAGCGUAACCAUAUCCUGUACCUACUGAAUCUCUGGUUCGCAAAAGUAAAGUAUUCUCCCAUACUUUACUUGGGUUUCUAACCAACCCUAAUUGGUUAGUGGCGGCUCCAAAUUGAAUAUAAUUGCAUGUUUAAAUGAGUUAAUUUCUUAAUAUCAAGUCGCGAUUGGUAGGACUUGGGAGGGUCCGUGCCGAGUCUUCGACUUAGUAAUCCAUUAGCCUUCUUUAGGUAAUUCACCAUCGGGAAGGUCGCAACAACUAGUAACUUUUGGGGAGGAAAAGCAAUUUGACGAAUAACAAGUUUGUCGUUUUAGCAAAAUUGAUUUACGUAGUCGUACUUAAAUAGAAUCAUGACAAAAGUACAACGAUCUGUCAAAGUGGUCAGCAGGGUAGGCUAAUGGUUAAGAUAUCGCGAAAAAGAAACUGUGUACUUUUUUUUUUUUUUUUGGGUGCUGAAGGAACCGCCUUAGCCAGUAGCCGAAGCGUAAACCUGCAGGUGCUAUGUAAGCGGGAGGACCCAUCACCCCCGGCAGCAUACUUAAGUCACCAAGUAACUCCGCUAGAGCCUUUGCUUCGCAAAGGUUUCGAACUUCUCACCUCUCUCGCAAAGGUUCACUGAAGCCUACCUAGCGAAGCCACCACAGCCGGUGGUAGAAACUGUGUGCUUUGAUGCAUAUCUUUCGGAUCAAUUUUCAACUUUAGUAUUGUCAUGUUAAGUCAUGUACAUCGAGCAAUCUGGAAACAGUCUGUAUCAUUUCAGUGCUGGUAUGCAAAUAUUCACAACAAUACUACUGAUUGACAGUGUGAUCUUUAACAGAAUGGCGACUUCACAGAGCAUUCACCACGCCCAGGACAGUGACCUCUGCGUCGACCAUGCAAAUGUCCUUCACCAAAGUGCCCAUGUUGGGAUAAUAGAAGGUGGCAUGCGAAAGGAAUCUCACCCAACCGGACUCCUCGCUCGAGGUGCUGAACCAGUGAUUAGCUGCAUGAGAGAGAGAGAGAGAGAGAGAGAGAGAGAGAGAGAGAGAGAUUUUCCAAUGUCAAAGACAAGAAUUCAAUCGUUCGUAAGUUCAUUUCUUGCAAGAAGUAAUCACCUUUUCCAGAGAAAUGCCUUCCUUGAAGCUGAUCCAGGAUGCGCAGCGAGAAGUCUGCAAAUACUUUAGUGCCAGGAGGAAGGGUGUCCGAGUUGGCUAAAACUAAAUAAAGAGAGACAAAAGCUCCGAGUCCGCUGCCCUUUCCGCCUGGAUAGAGCCGUAUCUUCCUGAAUGAAUGACAUACACAUCGUCUGAUGAAUCAAUGUAUUCUUGUUCACAAGACUCGACUACAUUGAUCGAAGAAUAAAGUGGUUCGCUCACUUAAAUGCCCAUUCCUAUUUACUCCUGGAAGGACAGAUGGUACUGAACUUGGUGAGGAUUUUUUCAGUGUUGUAGUUCCAAACCUCCGGCAAGAAAGACAUGCCUCUAAAUGUUGGGUUACCAACCUAAGUUUCAGCCUUACACAAAUUUUAGCAAAAAUGAAUGUGCGGCGUUUGUGACCCAUCAAUCAGAAGACAAAUUGCAGAAACUUCCUCAAUAAUCAUGACCCAAAAUACUGUUUGUCAAGAUAGUUCAUUGUUCUCCAUGAUCAGUGUAGAAGCAUAUCAUGAGGCAAAUGAGCAGAGGAGAUUUAACAUCCAUUGUUUAGUGCGUGCCUAUAUUAGGAAAGUUGAGGGCGAUUACCAUUUCUGAUUUCCGGCUAUGAAUACUUUCGACUCGGAGAAUUCCUUGUCCAAUUUCGAGAAGUUGUCGACCUUCCAGGUGUGCUUCUGACUGAUCGCAUCAUUUACCAUCAACAGAUUCUCUCCUUUGCCAGUGCUCUUUUCCUUCAUCACGAAAACCUCCGCACCAAACACACAAGUAUCGUCCACGAGAUAUCCGUUCUGCGCAUCACUAAACGUCUUCAUGGGAAUGAAUUGGUCGAAGCCAUGUUCAAGCUUCAUCCUGUGAAAGCGCCAUUCCUUUUUCAUGGCAUCUGAUGUAAAAGAAAAAAAAAAACAAUAAUCAAAUCCAUCAACGGACACUUGCUGAUUAACUAACUUGCUAACCGAAGAGCUAACUUUUUUCUUUACAAUCUUAUCAAACUGUAUGAAUGACAAGGAAACAACGAGAUAAUUUGUGGUUUGAAGCUGUACCUUGGAUUAUCGAGUAACUGUCUUUGUUCUGGUCAAGCAGAAAGAAUCUAACUAACGCAUGAACUUCCCAACCUGAGGGGAGCGAGCUUGUUUCUGCCAUCGACAGGUAAAGAGAAACAUGCUCUUUUACGUUCUUGCUCUUGUUCCCAUUCGGGUGAAGAACCAGCCUCCUGUGGAAAGAAGAAGAGACAGAAAGUGAAGAAGAAUCGCUGUGCAAUGAACCCAUAGAGAUUGGUAAAUAAGUUACGUGGAUGGGGAAAGUGAGGAAUUAUUACCAUUUGCAGCCUCCAGCUUGGAAGACCCCGGACUCAUACUUGUCCACAGAGUUCUUCGAAAGCAAUGAGUACGAUUGUAUCUUGACCACGUAGUGGGCUGGUGGAGCAUCUGACAUCAUUUUCUCUGCUCCUUCAAAUGACACUGCGAGCAAAGGAUUGAUGAUGGUGAAGCCCAUGUUUAAUGUUUAAUGUUCUUGUUUACAAAUUACGAGAGAGAGAGAGAGAGAGAGAGAGAGUCACGUACCUUGUUUAUCAUCUAAUGCAGGAUCAGCCAUUUGAAGAGCAAUUGAAGAGCAAAAAGAUUAAUGAGAGGAUUCGUGAAAUUUGCUGGCUUAUAUACUAUAUUUCAUAAGCAUUUCGUUGCUAGCCAUGUUGAAGUCGCCUUAGAGGACCGUCAUGCUUUGCUUGAAGAUAGUUUCUUUUCGCUCUGGAGAUAGGAUCCAAACCUUGCCCUGAUUCCUCUGCUUGUUAGUCAUGGCAUCAUCGUGCAAAGAAAUAAGAUAUUGGGUACGCGCAAUUGCCCGUCGAAAGGACAAGCACACCAAAAGUACCGGUCUUGUCUCGAAGCACAAUCGGGUAAAGAAGCUUCAGAUAAUAUACGAUCAAGUCUUCGAAUUUGUGAAUAUCAUCCAGUCGAAAGAGAGACAACCUCCAGAAACCAAGAUAUAGGUUAGGGGAAAGAGUUGGUGCAUACGUGAUUGCAGGAUACGCGAUGGCCCCUCCAGCUCUCCACAAUUACUCUCUCUCUAAUCCAGAGAGAAAAUCCCAACUUCCAAAUUAGGAUUUUUCGACGGUGGUACUUUGGCCGUGGAUGUCGAGGUUCCCACGUGUUCAAGUGUCAAGCAAGAGAAGUCUCACAUAAAAAAUGCAGUUUGAGAUAAGACAAUUAAUAUAUCUUAAUUUACUCAUAACUUAUUAAUAUAAGCUUUGAAUGAAAGUAGAUCUAACCGAAUAUGUUCUAAAACUCAAACCUAGACUUUCUUAUGAGGAUCUCUCCUGCUGAAGGUAUCGAGUUUCUAUUAUUCUUCUUAAUCAUAGAAGUAUAAUGUUUUUGGCUGUGUGAUUGAGAGAGAGUCCUCAUCAAAGGAUCGUGUCGUUAGAGACUCAAAGUUUGUGGCAACUCAAUCAAGAUUGAGAGACAUGGUGAAAAUUGCAAAUCUUGCGUCUUCAUAGUCCCGUGCUUAUCGCAUAUGGAUCACUUUACUAUACACUUCGACAUCCCUCUGUUUUUACACGUAAUUCUGCAAUACUAGUUUCUCCAUGAAAGUUGCUUCCCGACAUGGUUGGGUACCUUGCAUAUCCAAUUGAGUUUGGAGCUUAAGUCUUGUACAGUGUAGAUGCAAUAUCCUGUAGUAAGUCUGUUUCUUGUCAUGCAAAUAGGACGGACAAAUAGGACUUUCCGUCAUUGAACUUUGGCCGAGCACAUCUUGUGAAUAAGAUUUUCUCAGAAAAUGAGCCUAAUGGUCUUGAAAAGGGAUUUUCACAAGUAUCAGUCUGAAUUUUCUCAAUUUCUAUAGAGGGAUGAGCUAUUUAAGGUUCCGGAUAUAACACUGAAAUUUGGACAUGAAGUAGAAGGAGAAUACUGUAAAAUAUGGGUUUUGACCCAGUCAAAAAUAAAAAGGAGAAAGAAGAAGGAGAGAGAUCGAGAGUCUUCGGGAGAGAAGAAGAAAAAGAGGAAAGAGAGAGAGAAGGAAAGAAAAGAAAAAAAGAAAAAGGGGGAAAAGGAGGAGAUAAAAGGAAAAGAGAGAGAAAAAGUAGGAGAGAGAGAAAGGGGGAUCAGAGAGCCCACGCUCAAAAAGAAGAAGAAGAAAAAGAAGAUAGAGGAUUUUGUGCGUUUUCAUCAUGGGAGCCUUGCCAAGCCAUGUAACGCAACGCCCGAUAAGCGUUCGUGCCGCCCAUUCAUUCAAUCGGAGUAAUUUCAGACCUAGGGCUUGAAAUUCGGAUUUUUGGAAACAUAGAGCGACGAAGUAUGAUUUGUGAGUCGUUGAGUUGCGUAUUUUUAUAGAAAUGAUAGCUUGGGAUGUUGUGGAGCUGGGAUCUUACAGAAUAUGAUUUGAGCUCACGAUUUGCCCGAAACAAAAUUUUGAAGUUUAUUGCGCGUGAUAAACAGUGCACAACCAGAACUUCAGGGCUAUAUUUUGUUGAUUUUCAGCUUGAUUUUGAGUUGGCUAAAUUGGGGUUCUUGUAGUGUGUUGGAUGGGCUUUCCAUCAACUAUAAGUACGCUUGAAACGGAGUUUGGUAGAGAAAAUUAUGGCAUGAUGAAGUUUCGUGCUUGCACUUCGCGCUAAGGAUGGCUUUGAGUAAUUGUUUUGGUCGAGUGAUUUAUUAGCGCAUAGGUGUCGUUUUAUCGAUGAAUAAACAUAAUUUAGUCGAGUAGUUAGUUUUUUUUUUUUUGGUCGGUAGUCGAGUAGUUAGUUGGAGAGUGACAUAUUACCUAGUUUUAAUAUCGUAUUCGAUUUAUUAAUAGGAAUACGAGUGCAUUGGCUCAAGUUACCACAUAGGUUUUCGACUUUCUCAAGUGAGUGGUGCUAUCUCUUCUAAGAAUUUAUAAGCUCAUGUCUUCAAAAUGAUAAAGAUUUGAUACUUUAUGAGUUAUGAAUAAGCAUGUUUAUUGCAUAAAAGUUGGAUUGGGCAUUUACUAUGUUUGAUAUUUGAAAAUAGUGUGAGAAAUUUUUGAUGAAUAUAUAUUCUGUUUGAUGAACGAAGUUGAGAAAUAUUACAUGUUUUGGGUUUGUGAAACCAUUUCAUGAAAAGCUCGACUUUGAGAUGAUUUAUGGAAGGUUAUAUAGUUAUUGAUUUUAAUAAGCUUGCAUGAAAUGUAUUUGAUUGAAAUUGAUUUAUGAUACGGGUCUUGAAAUUAUUUGAUAAUAUUUUAUGAAAAGUAUUUUUGGCGGAUAAGUUGAGUUGCGAAAUCUUUUGGUGAUAUAUGAAAUGUUUUAUGGAUUGGAUGGUGUUGUUCUGGAGUGAUGUGGAUGCUUAAUAUCACUAUGAGCCCAGUGAGGGAGUUGUGGGUAUACGUGUACUAUUCUAGGAUAUUCUUGUGGGCUGAACCACCGGCUAAUAAUAGGUGGAGACUUGCCAAGGGGGAAUCUUGGUCGUCUCGUCACCAAGCAUUAUAUCAUGACCAUAGUUUGAGAUAUUGAGCAACAGAUUGGUCAAUGGAGUGGACCAUUGACAUGUAAUAUGAGUUGGGUCGAUGGGAUGGACUAUCAACGUAUAAUUUGAGAUUUGUCGUUAGAAUGGACCAUCGACAUAUAAUUUCAUUAGAUUAUCGAUAUGUGGUUUGAUGAGAUUAAUCAAUUGAAUAGACCAUUGAUACAUGUUUUAUGAGAUUGACCAAUGUGUUAGACCAUUAUCUUGAAUAUUUUUGCUUUGAACAUAUUGUGUUAAAGUAAGAAACGUUAUAUUUUUGCCUUGAAGGUUUGUUAAAUUUCCAGGUUUAGUGUGGUAUGAGAUUAACCAAUGGAAUGGACCAUUGGCGUGUGAAUUAAUGAGAUUGAUCAGUGGAUUAGACCAUUGAUGUUUAUUUCAAUGUUAUUAUGAAAUGAUUAUUUUUGCUAUAAAUAUAGCUAUGUUGAAGCGUAUGUAACUUAUUAUUAUUACUGUAUGUUUGUUAUAUCCUAGAUUUGGGUUAAAAAAGUUGCGGUUUGGUUUUGUAAAUAUGCAAAGUGGGUGCUCAAUUCGCUUAGAAGAGAUGCACUACUCACUGAGUCGUGGUUACUCACCCCCCCUAUUUUCCAAUCUUUUUCAAGUUCCUUGACUAACGAUGAGUAAGUACGAGAGCAAUAUGGAUGUGGGGACUUUUAAGAGUUGGAUUUUGGGAGCUUUGAGGCUGCGUCCUUUGAGUGGAAGGACGACCAUGUCAUCCCCCAUUCAAUAUGGUUUUGGGGUGUGACAUCUACAUCUCACCUACUCUCAAACACAUAUGUUUAGUUUCGAAAAUUUCAAAUAAACAAUAUUGAUUGACAAAGGUUGUUGAAAAAAAACUCUUACCAAGUUUUAAAAUUGACAAAACUUUCUUAUUCUUGUUCUUAUUAUGAAGAAUAAUAGACUUGUGACAGCCUUUUGUCAAAGUCUAUUCAUUCCAGAAGUCUUUUCCACUCUGAUGCAAUCAAAACUGAAACCAAGUCCAUAACGGAUAUAUAAUCAAACUCAAAUUUAGUGAUCUUGCGACAAUGCUUCACUAUGAACAUGAUAGAGAUUUAUUUUUUAAUAUUUGGCUUUCUGGUGAAGAAUCUUACUUACCUUUUAUAAAUACAUUAAUGGAAUCAAUCACGAAUUGAUGAAAUCAAUCUUGUGAAGACAAGUUCAUUUUUAAGAAGCAUCUACUUAUGAAAAUCUAGAUUCUAAUUGUAUAGAUAACCAAAAUUAACGGAUUUUCAUCUCAAUCUUCAAACAACUACAAGAUUUCCUUAAUUUAUUAUAUCCAAUAGAUUGAUUGGAAGAAAUUCCUCUGAAGAAUGCUAAUAAGGUGUGGAUAAGUAUUUAAGGAGGUCAUUUAGUCUAUCUGAAGUGUGCGGUGAAAAUUAAAAUUCNNNNNNNNNNNNNNNNNNNNNNNNNNNNNNNNNNNNNNNNNNNNNNNNNNNNNNNNNNNNNNNNNNNNNNNNNNNNNNNNNNNNNNNNNNNNNNNNNNNNNNNNNNNNNNNNNNNNNNNNNNNNNNNNNNNNNNNNNNNNNNNNNNNNNNNNNNNNNNNNNNNNNNNNNNNNNNNNNNNNNNNNNNNNNNNNNNNNNNNNNNNNNNNNNNNNNNNNNNNNNNNNNNNNNNNNNNNNNNNNNNNNNNNNNNNNNNNNNNNNNNNNNNNNNNNNNNNNNNNNNNNNNNNNNNNNNNNNNNNNNNNNUCUCAUAUCCCAUUUUUGACAAACAAUGUGGCUCGUCCCUUGAAAGGUUUGUCACUUUAUGAUCUUGCAGCCCUUUGUGUGGAAGGAAGGACCUCUGUUUUGGCAUUCAAUGUUCACAUUUGUCCCAUUUGGCUUGAAAUUGUUAUAGGCUUAGAGAUUUUUGCCCAUUCUUCCUACCACAAAGGAAUCCCAUGCCAAUCGCAUUGAUACCUAAUCUAUUUACCGCUGCUAAUUUCCAUUGAUCCAUCUAUUUACAAUACGUGCUCGAUUUCCAUGUUCCAGCUAAUUGAGUCCGAACCAUUUGGCGAGAAGAAAGCUGCCACCAAUUGGCGAUUUCUUUCUUUUUCUUCGUUCUAAGUUGAUAAGUCCGCCUUUAAUUUGAAUGAAUGUGAUUGAGAGAUGAGCUUUUAGCAUCAUGUUAAUGGUAGCCAUGGCAAAUAUGAUAAGAAUGUCAUGCAAUUCCAGGUCAUGUUUAAGUCCUAACUUCAGAACAUGUUCUUCAGAAACACUUAGACAACGUGUAAGAUUGAAAAUCAAUUUAAAUAAAUAAUUUUUUAUUUAAUAAUGUUAUUUGGACUUACGAUCUUUUUUCUUCAUACAACUUUGUCUAAAAUGGUAGUCGAAUCAAAACAUCGAUAAAAACUACCAUUUUUUUUUUUUGGUAAUUUUAAGAUUUGAUUUUCUAUUUUUGUGUAUCUUUAGUUAUAUACCGUUUAGAAGAAAACCACCGAAAACAUACUCGAGUUUUCGUCUAUCACCCACAAGCCAAAAACACACAGCUUUCAUACCUCCACGAUACUAGAAUGAUUAAAAAAAAAUACCCUUCCUCUCCCAGAAGUUCUAGCCUCACAAAUUCCACACAUUCAAACUCUCAACCUAAGUCCCCCGCCACCAUUCUCUCCGUUGCCGGCAAUCGCGUGCAUCAUCUUGGAUUGCCCCGCCAACAUUAGACCACUCGUGACCAUUCGUGGUGGCCAUGGCCACGAGCUCGUAUUGGGGUUCCUCUGGAGACAAAGCAAAGAUGGAACGUAUAUCUCAUUGAAGGAUAGAUUUUGCUGUUACGUGAGAAACUGCAUGAUUAUUUCGUCACGGUGGAAGGAGGAAGAAGAAGCCAUGUUCUAACAAUUUCAAGCUCGGCAAGAGAGAGAGAGAGAGAGAGAGAGAGAGAGAGAGAGAGAGAGAGGGGAGGUUGCAAUCGUGAUCGUGUUUAUGAGAAAGCAAAGGUAUAUUAUGGAAAGGAAAAUGGGGAAAUUGUAAAUAGAUGGACAACACGCUAAAUAAGAGUGCAAAAGUGUAAUUUUCUUUUCUAAAAGAAGAGAUAUAUAGGUGGGUAUUUAGAUGAAAAUUCACAUAUGUUUUCGAUAUUUUCCUUUCAUUAUAUUUUUGUAAGCAGAGCACACAACAAAAUAUUACUACAUUAGCAUUAGAAUUGACUAAAUUCUAGAAUGAAUUGAAGGCCCUUUAACAUUCAAAUAAAGCCCCUGAAAAGGCUUGUCAUGCCUAGAUGAAACAUCGCAAUUUGUGCGUGUGCGCACUUGAGAAUUUGUACGAAGACCAGACUUUUAGAGACAAUUCGCGUAAAGAUUAUAUCUCUGGAAACGAUAUUCCGAUGCACAAAACCUUAAGCAUAUUCCAGCAAAAAUAAUAACUUCUUUAGCGGGAGCAAAAACAGUGAUUUGAUGAAUACCAAGUUCAUAAUAAUUUAACUGGCAGAGAAUUGAUUUACAUGGUGAUACUUAGAUGAUGUUGUGAGAAAAGUACAAUAGUCUGUUGAAGCGAUUAGCGGAUCAGGUCUGACCGUAGUUAAGAUUUUGCUGAGUGAAUGCAUGCUUUGAUUAUUGUUCGGAUCAAGGUCCCACUUCUAGUUUCUUUUUUUGAGUCAAAUGCUAAUUAUCAAGCAACCAUUGGAGAUCCAAAGAAAUUGACUGGAUGGCAUGAGAAUCAGGUACCGGAAAUAAUCUGUAUCACGUAAGUGUGCUGGUAUGAAAAUAUUCACAACAAAUACUGCGGAUUGACCGUGUAUCUCGACAGAACGGCGGCUUCACAGCGCAUUCAACACGCCCAGGACAGUGACCUCUGCUUCGACCAGGCAAGCGUCGUUCAUCAUAUAGCCGUACAGAUAACGUAAACUGAUAUGCGAAAUGAAUUUGCCCCAACCCCGCUGCUGGUCCGAGGCACUGAACCAGUGAUUAGCUGCAUGAGAGUGAGAGAGGACGCGUUUCAAAUGUCAAAAACAAGAAUUCAAUCGCUCGUAGGUUGUUUUCUUGCAAGAAAUGGUUACCAUUGCCAGUGACAUUAUUUCCUUGAAGCUGAUCCAUGACACGCAGCGAGAAGCCAGCAAAUACUUUAGUGCCAGGAGGAAGGGUGUCUGUGUCGGCAGAAACUAGAAACAGGGAGACAAAACCUUCGAGUCCGCUUCCUUUCCCAUUCGGAUAGAGCCGUAUUUUCCUUAAUGAAUGACACACAACAUCAAUGUAUUCUGGUUUUCUUUGCUUCACCAAUUUAAUCGAAGAAUAGGGUUAUUCACUAGCAUAAAUGCCCAAUCCCGUUCCUUCCAGGAAGGACAGAGGGUACUGAACUUGGCGUAGCAGUAAAAGUUUUAAACUGUGUUUCCUCCAUCUCCGGCGGGAAAAACAUGCCUCUACUGUUGGGUUACAAAUGUCGUAAUGUCCAUGUAUUUAACCUACCAAUCAGAAGACUCGAUAAACUUUUAUUGGAAAAAUAUGACCCAAAAUACAUUAGUCAAGAAAGUUCAUUUCUCUCCAUGUUCGGUAUAGCAGCAUUUCACAAGUCAAGUGAGUAGAGGACGUUAAUAUUCAAUUUUUAGCCGCAUGCCUAUAUGAUGAAGGUUGAGAGCGAUACCAUUUAUAGUUUUCGGCCAUGAAUACUUUCGAGUCGUAGAAUUCCUUGUCCAAUUUCCAGAAGUUGUCGACCUUCCACACGUGCUUCUGACUGAUCGCGCCCUUUAUCAUCAACAGGUUCUCUCCUUGGCCAGUGCUCUUUUCCUUCGUAACAGAGACUUCCGCACCGAAGACGCAAGUAUCGUCCACGAGAUAUCCGUUCCGCGCAUCGGUAAGCGUCUUCAGAGGAAUGAAUUGGUCGAAUCCACAUUCGAGCUUCAUCCCGUGAAAGUGCCAUUCCUUUCUCAUGGCAUCUGCAGGAAGGACAAGAAUUGAAUCAAUCCACCAAUUCUUGCUCCUAAUCGACCAUGGACUUUCAGUUAAUUGCUUACACCCAUUAAGAGUAUACUUACAUGGAUACACUGAAUUGACUCAAAGCGUGAAAAGGAAUAGUGUUCCUAUUCUCUCUUACUUAAUUCAGUAUUUUUCUCCCUUAUUUGCGAAAUAGGGUAGCCAUCCCAAAAAGAAGACGCUUAUCUUCAGAGGACCUCAUUUACUCAAUAUUCAUUCUACUGACCAUUGAUUUAUAAUUAUGUUUUGUAACUUGGUAUAAAGGAGAUGGUAUGUUGCUUGAUCAUGCAUGCAUUAGGAGAAUGCAUGUUAACCGUGUGGAACAACUAUUGAAGAGUAUAAAUAGAUGAGAAAGUGAUGAGAUAAUAUCUGGUUUGAAGCUAUACCUUGGAUUAUCAAGUAGUUGUCUUUAUCCUGGUCACGCAGAAAGAAUCUGACCAGAGCAUGAACUUCCCAACCUGAGGGGAGUGAGCUUGUUUCUACCAUCGACAGGUAAAGCGAAACGUGAUCUUUCACGUUCUUGCUCUUGUUCCCAUUCGGGUAAAGAACCAGCUUCCUUUGAAAAUAAGAAAGAAAGGAGAAUCACUGUCCCAAUAAACCCAGAAAGAUCGGUAAAUAAAUUAUGCGGAUGGGAGAAGUGAAGGAUUGUCACCAUUUGUAGCCUCCAGCUUGGAAGACCCCCGACUCAUACUUGCCCACUGAGUUCUUUGAGAGAGAUGAGUAGGAUUGUAUUUUGACGACAUACUGAGCUGGCGGAGUUGCUGACACCAUUCUCUCUACUCCUGCAAAUGAGACACAAGGCAAAAGAUCGAUGCCUGCGAAGCACAUUUUCGACGUUCUUUUGUACAAAUUACGCGGGAGAGAGAGAGAGAGAGAGAGAGAGAGAGAGAGAGUCGCAUACCCUGUAGAUCAUCAAAUUCAGGAGUACCCAUUUGCAAAGUGAAGAGACCGAUGAGAGGAUCCGUGAAAUUUGUUGGCUUGCAUAUGCAAUUUGUUGCUAGCCUUUUUAUAGUUGCUUUACAGUACCGUUAUGCUUUGCUUAAAGAGAGUUUCCUUUUGGUUAUAGAGAUAGUAUCCAGUCCUUGCCCUGAUUCCACUGAAGAAACGUGAAAGCCAAAAACACUAGCACGAAAGAGAGAGUUUAGAUCCUUUCCCUGAUUUCUCUUCUUGCUAGCCAUGGCAUGUUCAUACAUAAAAACGAGAUAUUCGGUAUGUGCAUUUGCACAUCCAAAAGAUAAGUACAAUAGAAGUACUAAUUAUUUCUCAAUAUGCAAUCAAGUCAUGAAACUUCCAAUAACACAAUGAAGUCCUAGAAUUCGUAAAUACAUGUAAAAUCAAAUGUCUACAUAAGGUCCUUGUUUAAGGAAAAUAUAAAAUUUGAUGUGGUAGCUUUGAUUUUUUUUCUCAAAAUUUUUGCAAGUAACAAUUAAUUUUUUUCCAGAACUAAGUGGAUUCAACUCAACAUAAAGUGUACUCCUAUAUCGAAUAUAAGGAUGCGUUUGUUUCACGGAAAAUGAAUCAUCUGAAAAAUAUUUUAAAAAAGUAUCACUUUUAUUGCUUACAAAAAUAAAUCUACUAAAAAUACUUUCAUUGUCAACAAUAAUGUCUAGACAUGUAUUGUUUUCAAAAAUUAAAAGAUUUUCACUAAAUAUUUAUUUCAAAUAAUACAAAAGAUUAUUUUUUAGAAAAAUAUUUUCCAAAUUAUUCAUUGUCUGGUAAACACAACAUUUUUUUUUAAAUGAUUGCUUAUAAAAAUGAAUGAAUGAAAAAAAAAUUCAUUAUCAAUGAAAAUCUUUAGAUAUAAAUUGUUUAUGAUAAUAAAAAAAAUUGUAUUGACAAUUUUUUUAUACAAUAUAAGUUAUUGUUUUAAGAAAAUGUUUUCCUAAUCAUUCAUUUUCCAUGAAACAAAUGCAGCUUAAGUAUUUAUGUCUUUUAACCACAAAUGUAUUGGUAAAUCUCUAGGCAAAACUAAAGGUAUUGGUAAUUUCAUAUUUACCAAGAGUCUAGAUCAUUUGCCAAGAAGAAAGGCGCCGCUAGCUCAUCAUUUCUCUCUCGUUUUCGUUCAAGCCAACAAAUCUGCCUUUGAUUUGAAGGAAUUGUGUCUGGAGAGAGAAGUUGGGAGCGUUGUGUAAUGGUAGGCAUGGCAUAGAUGGUGGAAUGUCACGCAAUUCCAGGUCGUGUCUAAGUCCUGGUUUCAUAAUUCGUUCUUGAGAAAUACUCAAAUGGCGUGUAAGUUAGAAGAUUAUAUAUAUAUUUUGCUGAAAAAGAUCAUUAAGACUUACAAUCCUUUUUUCAUACAACUUUGCCAAAAUAGUACCCAUCAAAACAUUAAUGGAAAAGAUGAUUCUACAUUCUGGACGCGAUAAUUCUCACCCCUCCAUAAAAGGACAACAAAUUUGAGGGAAGAUUAAAGAGACACUUCCUCACCUUAGAUCCGAGAUCCGAUCCAUCGCAGACAAAAUGAAGACAGGCCAUAUCUGGCAGGGGUACAAAUUUCGUCGUUUCAUUGAGAAAUUCCGCGAUAGAUAGAAGACAUUGUCGCGAUGGAAUGAAGAAGAGAAGAAGAGGCUAUGGUUGAACGAAUUCAAGCUUGAACCAAGUUGAAGUUCGACUAGAAGAUUGUCAGGAGUGUGGUGAGACCGUGAAUAGGUGAAGUUGGUUAGAAUAUUCAGUACGCAGCCCCUAAUAGCGGGAAUCAAUUCAAUGCGUAGUUUCUUGCAGGUUGGAGAGAGCUAGCUCGUUCGCCCGUGAGCUCGGGCUUUAACAUUCAAAUAAGCACCUGAGAAUCACAGGUUUCAUUGUGCGCAAGCACAAGCAAGCCCAAGAAUUUGUACAAAGAUCAGACUUUUAUAGAUAAUUGGCAAGAUUGUGUAUCUGGAAACAAUAUUUUGAUGCACAAGAUCUUAAACUUAUUAGAGCAAAAUGACACUGCUGGGGAAGAGAAAGAAUUGAUUUGACGAAUAGCAAGUUCAUAAUUUAUCAGGACAGAGAUUUGAUUUAUACAAUGAUACUCAAAACAAAAUUACAAGAAAAGUACAAUAAUCUGUCUGAAACGAUUGCAGAUCAGGCGAUAGUUAAGAUUUUACGGAGUGAAGAGAAGAAAAAUGCAUGCUUUGAUGCAUACCUUUCAGAUCAGGGUUCAGUUUUACUGGACGGGUUUGCGAACCAGGACCUGCAAAUUAAUCUGUAUCAUAUCAGAGCUGAAAUGAACAUAUUCACAGCAAUGCUACUGAGUGAUAGCGUGAUUGUCAGCAGAAUAGCGACUUCAAACUGCAUCCACUACGCCGAGGACAGUGACCUCUGCUUUGACCACACGAGUAUCCUCCACCAAAGUGCCUGGUGUUCGGAUCAUUGAAGUUGGCAUGAAACAUGAGUCUCCCCCAACUGGACUCCUGGCUCAGGGAGGCUGAACCAGUGAUUAGCUGCAUCACACAGAGCGCUUACAAUGUCCAAAACAAGAAUUCAAUCACUCGUAGCUUGUUUUCUUGAGAGAUGCAAGUUCCAAGUCCGGUUACCUUUCCAGCUGGAUAGAGAGUUAUAUUUUCCUGAAUGAAUGUAAGACACCACAUUUCAGAUUAAUCAAUGUAUUCUUGUUUGCUAGUCUUCACAACGUUAAUGGAAGAAUAAAGUGAGUCACUUGAUAAAAUACGCAAUCCUAUUCCUUCCUGGAAGGACAUAUGACUGAACUUGGUGAGGAUUUUUUAAGAGUUGUAGUUCCAUCUCCAGCGAGAGAACAAUGCAUCUCAUUGUUGGGUUAAGAAUAUAGAUAUCACCAAUAUGAAAAUUUUAUUAAAAUGAAUGUGUGUAACGUCCGUGUUUAUAAACCAUCAACUAGAAGACUGAUCGAAGAAACUUCCUCGAGAAAUACUUGUCAAGAUAGUUCAUUGUUCUCCAUGAUCAGUUAGGAACAUAUCAAGUGAGCAGAGGAGAUUAACAUCAAUUAUCUAGCACAUGCCUAUAUUAGGAAAGUCGAGAGCAAUACCAUUUCUCGUUCCCGGCAACGAACACUUUCGACUCGGAGAAUUCCUUGUCCAAUUUCAAGAAGUUGUUGACCUCCCACGUGUACUUCUGACUGAUCAUGUCCUUUACCAUCAACAGAUUCUCUCCUCUGCCAGUGCUCUUUCCAUCGUCACGAAACCUCCGCACCAAACAUGCAAGUAUCGUCCGUGAGUCAUCCAUUCUGUACAUCAUUAAACUUGGUCAAAGCCACACUCAAGCUUCGUCCAGUGAAAGCGCCAUUCCUUUCUCAUGGCAUAUGCGGAAAGAAGAAGAUUCAAAUCAAUCAACAAACAGUGGCUGCUUAACUAACCUGCUAAUCGAAGAGCUUACUUUUGCUAACAAUCUUAUCAAACUAUAUAAAUAAGGACAAAUGAGGAGAUCUAGCACUCUCAACAGAUUAACUGUUAAUCCUCUCAAAAGUGGGAAGUUUAUCAUGUUACUCCAAGAAAUAAAACCAAAUCUCGACACAUUAGGGGAGAACCACCUGAGUUUGUGCCAGUCAACAUCAGCAUUCUUGUUUUUGACAAUAUCCCAAGCAACAAAAGAAUUAAGGCAACCUUUUGAAGAAGCUGUGCAUACAACUUUGUCUGCAGCCAAGGAACUAGGAAAAAUCAUACCACAAACUGCAGCUUGGAUGGGAACCAACUCUUCAGACCUAGCAACAGGCCAUUUCCAAUGAAAGUAACGAAUUACAGCCAAUCCUUUGGCCUGCAGCAGAAGAGAAGAGUUGUAACUUAUUCUCCUUGAGAAUGAUUCCAGCAAGACCCUGGCAUGGUGCUGCAAUUCAUACCAAAGAGAGACAUGAUCUCCACUACCCACUAUUUGUAUAAUCCGGGGUUUCAAAAUAUUCCUGACUUUUACUAAAUUCUUCCAAGCAUAAGUAGCAUCGGGUUUACAAUCAAGAUAAUAGCUAGAGAGCUAAGCAAAACAUGAACAAUAAACCUCAAUGAAAUACUCCACAGAUACUUUAUAAUACAAGCUGAAUUUGAUACAAAUAAGAUCUCACAAAUCCAGUCUUCGAAUGCCAAGGCCUCCAAAUUGCUUAGGGGGACAGACAGUGUCCCACUUAACUUUUGCUCCCUCUUUAGCAUCAGGAUCUCCCUUCCAAAGGGAAGCUCUACACUUCCGAUCAACCAUUUCAAAACUUUCUUGGGCAACAAAAAGAGUUGACCCUAAUAGUUAACCAGACUAUGAAUAACAGAUUUGAUAAGCUGACCCUGGCAUAUGAGUGGCUUUUAACUGUCCAAACUUUAGAUCUUGUUGUAAUUCGAUGCUUAUAAUCCUUGUCUUGCAGACCACCCAAAAACACUAGAAGAAAGAACCAAACAAAAAAAUCGGGUUGGCUGAUUUGUCAUGUUGUUUGAUUUUACUGCUGCAUGUUAGACAAAAGCAAUGUAUGACUUAACACUCCCCUUGCAUAGAACUGAUCCCCUACACACACAUGAUAGAAUGUGGAUGUAAUCACGUCAAUGGGAUAACCAGGGAAAGGAUAACAAGCGACAUAACAGACAAGAAAUUUUGAAAUUAUUGACAUGUGCUUUGACAAUGCUAGAAAUGAACAAGUAGAAUGCAGACAAUUUGUUGGAAAUGCAACCAAACAAGUACAAUGCGAACAAUUUACUAAUCCUUCAGAAGAGAUUCUUUAUGCAUUAUAAUCAUUCCCCAUGAUCAUUACCUGCUUCCUAAACAGCCAGUCAAAAGAAAAGGCAGAAACAAAUCUACUCACCUUUAAACUUUUCCAACCAGCGACUCCAGGGCUAUGCGUCUUUGAUUCCAUGAAGCAGUAUACGAAUAGUCAUCAAAACGAACAAUGUGCAAUGAUUUCAUUGAAUGCUAUCCAGGAUGCGAAAUGCCUUCACUUGUGUCUGUACUCAAACCGACUAAACCAUUCCUUAAUCUUGGAUCGUGAGUAAAAUGCUGGAUGGAAGGUUUAAGGCGCAAUAAAUCUGUUACCCCCACAGAUCUCGAUGUGCCUCACAGGAUGCUCAGAAAUAAAUAAGACGAUUCCUUGUGUGGGUAUAAGUACUGUGUAUCGUCAAAUUGAGACAGAAAGUCAAUACCGAGUUCCUUCCACUUCUACUGAAUGCUGCAGGUGUAAUUUCUGUAUAUCAGAAUCAGAGAUAUAAGGGACACAUUCCACAAACUUAGUAAAAGUGUUCAAAUGGAGCUUCCAAACUAAAACGGGAAAGAGAAUUGAAAGCAUCUAACUGCCAACUUGCUCUAUCCAUCCUAAGUUUGGAGUUACACUUUUUCAAUGCUAUGCAACUUUCAAACAUUCUCAAACGUGUCUUUUGCUAUUUAUUUAUGAUUUUUGAGAUUUGUCUCGCGGAUUGAAAAAUCAGGGGGAAAAUGGACACUUUUAAUGAACAUGGAAAGAGAAAAUAUGUACAUACCUCUAUUUCCCCGCGAAUAAUUCGAGAACCAACUCUAAUCAUCGAAAGAGUUUCCAUUAAAAGUCAAGAUCUUAAGAACAGAGCCUCCAGUGGCAUCUCCCCUACUUCUCUGCAAUGAGGGGCAAUCUCACAUCCCGAGUCCCCCCCUUCAGCAUCCUCUCCUCCUCCUCCUAGACUCGAUACUGGCGAGGCGAUGGUGAAGGAAAGGUUUACGCACUAUGCCCAUGAACUAAAAGGUUGAAAAAUAAUUAGCCCAUUGUAAAAUUCAAUGGAAGCUAAAAAGAAGGACGAAUAUUUAGAGAAACCGUCGCUCGUUCAGACUACUGAGAUCAAUCUACAACCCGUGUUUAACUGAGGAAAUGCAGCUGACUACUGACUCAUGCCGGACGAAGACUAAUUUCGAGUGAAGAAAGCGCCUUGGAGUAUAUGAGAAGAGAACCCCGCGGAAAGCGUCGAACAAGAUUUCAAAUAAGGAAAAGCGCAAAGUAGAUUGACCUUCGGAAAUACGGAUAAUUGCAGGUGCGGUAGCAGCAGGUCCGGAACGAUCCAGGAGGAAUUAGGGUCUCGUCGAGGUAGACGUCCCCCUUCUUCUUCGGGGGGGCGGCCUCGGGUCGGUUUUCCGGGACGAGUGCUCUCACGGCUGCGACUCGGUGGAGCUCUCUGUGAGUCGAGUGCGAAAGGUUCCGAGUUCGCGGAGAGCUUCAGCUGUCAGCUUCCCAAUCAUGAAAUCAAGAUACGAACCCCGUCCCUAUUCAAAAAGAGCCAAGGCCUCAGAUAUUAAAAAUACCCUAAUCUCUUCCCAUGUAGAAUAUUCAGAGUCCGAAUCCCUUUUUCUCUCAAGUAAUUGACUUGGGGUAGACAUUGCCCAAUGUGACUUGUGGGAUUUCGCGGAUGAGGGGCCAAUAGCUGCCGGUCCCUUUCCUGCAUCGCUUCUCCAUAAUCGGGCAAUAGACUAUCGAGAGUUGUUCUAAGGAGGGAGGGAGGCCAUCCUGGGGCAACUCCCUCAGCUUCGGGCAACUGUGGAAAUAUAAUUUCUGUAGAGAGGGAGGGAGACUGCUGGACAGUCUUUCCACUUUCCCCAUCCACCAGAUUUUGAGUUGGAGCAGAGAGGAAGGGAGCGGAAGCACAAGAUCCUCCUCCUCUCCCACUCCUCCCACGCUGCCGUCGAUCUCUAGGCAUUCAAGGGAGGUGAGGGGGGUAAGCCACUCCCUCACCGGUUGCUUCAUAUUCUCGCAUAUAGACACCUCAAGUUCCUGUAACUGGGGCGGCAAUCCUCCAUCGGGGAAGCGCGUAAUACUCUCACACCUAGUAAUUUCCAGAGUUCGGAGACUCGAGAGUCGAUGCAAUUGAUUAGGUAACGAUUUUAUCUUCGGACAAUAAUGAAGCACAAACAAGGAGAUGCCGAGAGGAAGAGGAGGGAAGCACUCCAGCUCCAGUGCAAGACACUCCCACACACACAAGGAAGUGAGAUGGGAAAGUGUGUCCAACCCCUGUGGUAAGCUUCUCAAGUUCUCGCAAUAGCUAAUAUUGAAAUCUUGAAGUGAUUGAAGACGGUCUACAGGUAUCUCCGCGAGCGACUCCACUCCCCUACACGACAAAAUUCCAAGUUCCUUAAGGGUCGCUGGUAAAAAACUACUCUCGCUGAAUAAAGAGGCUGGUAGAGAAUCACAUCCAAAGAUUCUUAGGUCUUGCAAACAAGACAUCAUGUCACCGUGAUUAUUGGCACUACUGCUUGGUUCAUCUAUAUGAACACUUAAUCCUCUAGGCAAAGAUUGCAACAUCUCGCACAUUUGGAUAGUUAAUGAUAUCAAUGACGCCGACAUACCUGUUUUGAGGAAGGACACGAGUUUUGGACACUCCGUAAUGCUCAAGUCUUGAAGAGAGGAAAGGGUGUAAAUCUUGCUUGGGUGCUUCUCCAAAUUGAUGCAAUUCCGUGAGUCCGUAGUCUCUGCCUUGCUAGGCAACUCUAUAUCUUCUUCUCCAAUUGAAAAUUAUAUCAAUUCAUGACAACUUUCGACAACUAAGAACUCCAAACAAGCGAGAUUCCGAAUUACAUCUCUCUCUUGCCACAAGUACAUCAAAUUUUUACAAUUUUUCAUCACCAAAUUCUCCAGCUUGACCAAAGAGCUUGUAAACCCAUAAUCUAAGCAAGUUAAAUCGACAAUAUCUUGUAUGACAAGGGUGGUUAGGGAUGUCAAGUUUACCAAACUCUUCAGCACGCCCUCAUUACAACCUUCAAAGUUUAAUUCAUUGAGGGAUGGAAGGCUAACGAUAGAGGACGCGGCAUCCAUACGCGGACAAGAGAUGAUUUCUAGCUUUUUGAGGGAGCUCAGUUGACUAGGCAAUCUUCCAAUCAACAUAGGACAAUCUUGAAUGACCAGAUGCUCAAGACAAGGGAAUAAAACUUCUACUUCUUCAUUGCUGAAGUGAUGAGACCAUUCCUCCCAUGACGGCAUGUCCUUGAAUUCCAAAGUCAUUAAGGAUGAAAAAGGACUUUUGGUUCCAUAAAAUUCAGACCCUACCGUGUGUAUUGCAUUUAGACCUUCAAUGGAUAGUUCUUUUAGAGAAGAUAGCUGCCCAAGCGAUGGUAAUGCUUUGACCCUCUGACACAUGCAUAAAUGUAAAUGGACUAUGUUAAGAUGUGAGGGACUUCCUAACCAUGAAGGAAAUUCAAGGCCACUAUAGUAGAAAAUUUCAAGAUUUUCAAGGUUUUGGUGGGGGCAAAGAAAGUCAAGAACCUCUGCCUCAAGCUCUUCAUUCCGGAAAUUUUUAAAAUCUGUACUCCACUGCAUGGUCAACUGGCAUAUUCUCUUUUUCGUGCAUAAGCUAGCAUCCUUGGCAUCUUUGGCUUCUCGAACCAUAUGCAAAUCAAAAAUGCACAAUUCCCCUCCAAGGUUUUCUAGGUUUUUUUAACUCUUUCAACCUCGAGCCAUUUCCAAUUCCCACUAUAAACUUCGACAACAUCUCAAGGCCCACCAAACUACCUAUAUUUAGUGGCAUCACUUUUAGGUUGCUAGAGUCACUAAUAUCGAGAAAUCUCAAAUUGAUCAAUUUCUCCAUGCCUUGUGGUAAUUCAAUAAGGUACAUACAACCUCGCAACAUCAAAGCCUCUAGGUUGUACAAUGCAACAAUUGACUUGGGAAGUGUUUCAAUAUCAGUAUAGGAUAGAUUAAGGUGCCUUAGGUGCCUUAAUUUGCCUAUGCAAUAUGGUACCUCCCUAAUGAAGUAGUGACUUAAAGUAAGCACCCUCAAAUAUUUCAAUUUUGACAACAAGUCACAUAGAACUUUUUGGGACAAGUAUGACUUGUCAAGAUAGCUAGGUUCCUUCCUUAAUGAUAUGAAGCUCCUAAGUCCUUUCAUUCCGUGAUAUAUCUUGAAAUUUUUUGAUAUAGCGUGAUCAUUGGGAAUGAAUGAGGCAUGACGAGCUAAAGAUGGAUUAGUUUGAUACCGCUUAAGCUCAGACUCCCCUGAGCUAAAAUGGGUUGCACCUGCAACUAACUUUGCUAGGUCAUUCACAAGAUCAUGCAUCAAGAAUUGUGAUUCACUACUACUCGACUUCUGAAAUAACGAUCUAGA
rnacentral:lncRNA from 1 species